rnacentral:lncRNA from 1 species
GCAAAGCAGAGCCGUAGAGAGGAUCGUCCAACAGAUCAGGUGUAGCAUGAAGAUGGUCAUCGUUCUCGCCGUGUGCCUGGCUCUGUCAGCUGCCAGCGCCUCUGCUCUGCAGAUGCCCGGGAUGGGGCUGCAGGACUUGUAUGGCGCCGGCGCCCUGAUGACGAUGAUGGGCGCCGGCGGCGGGCUGUACCCCUGCGCCGAGUACCUGAGGCAGCCGCAGUGCAGCCCGGUGGCGGCGCCCUUCUACGCCCUUCGUGAGCAGACAAUGUGGCAGCCAAACUUCAUCUGCCAGCCUCUCCGACAGCAGUGCUGCCAGCAGAUGAGGAUGAUGGACAUGCAGUCACGGUGCCAGGCCAUGUGCGGCGUGGUGCAGUCCGUCGUGCAGCAGCUGCAGAUGACGAUGCAGCUCCAGGGCGUCGCCGCCGCCAGCAGCCUGCUGUACCAGCCAGCUCUGGUGCAGCAAUGGCAGCAGCUGCUGCCGGCAGCUCAGGCCCUCACCCCCUUGGCCAUGGCGGUGGCGCAGGUUGCGCAGAACAUGCCGGCCAUGUGUGGACUCUACCAGCUGCCCAGCUACUGCACCACCCCCUGUGCCACCUCCGCCGCCAUUCCGCCCUACUACUAUUGAUGAUUCUCCCUGGCCUGUUUGGAAGAUCCGCUUCUCUCUACUGCAGUAAUAAGACGUCACACAUUAUCAUGUGUGGUGUGACCAAUAAUAUAUAUAUAUGCAUGAUCAUUGAUCAUAAUAAAGUUUUGGUUCUAAAGAAUCUACUUAAUUUCUCCAUCCCAAAUUAUAAGGCAUUCUAAAAAUCUUGGAGAGUUAAAUUAUUUCAAGUUUGACCAAAUUUAUAGAAAGAAUUAUAAAGAUUUAUAAGAUCAAGUGGAUAUACUAUAAAAAUAUAAUCAAUGAAGAACCAAAUGAUAAUUAGUAUCUAUGUUGUACACCACCUCACUUGACUUGGUCAACACGUACGUUGUCUUAAUCUUCAUUCAUCUGGUACUUUUCUCCAUAUCUAUGUACGAUGUGGAUAAAUCAAAAUUUCUCUAGUCGGGCAUGUAGAUAUUUCAAAAUCUAUGUUUAGGCUCAAAGUAUAAGUAUGCAUCCGUGGUGCUUCCAUAGAAUGACAGAUAAUGCGUGAAUGUCAUAGGUAGCAUGUUGAGAUCAACAAUUCACUGGCAUAAGUGGUGCUUACAUAGUAUGUUUGAAAAGACUUAGGGUGACAAGGGAUAUUGGUACAUGUGGAUAUUACUACUUCUGAUCCACAUGUCCCUCCCUCUUGGGGUGCUCAACAUAUCCUCUCGCCAUAGCUCUAAGCUUGCUACCCGCUCAUUGUGUUCAUAGAUGAAGAGUGUGUUAGCAUCACUAUCGAUGUCGACGUAAGGGAAACGGACAAACACAUCUCCAAAGACCGUGCUUACAUUUGAUGGCUUUUAUGCAAUGACCUAGUGAAGAAACGUGCUCCGACUGGGUGAGGCUACAAAGAAAUCACAAAAGGUAUAUCGACUUCUGAUAUAUGAGGUGGAAUUGAUCCACUAAUUCUCCGAUGCAUAUGCGUGAGAGCUUAGCAAGUUGUAUAAGUCAUUUUUCUUCGAGAAGCAUGCCACAAGAAAAAAAAUCAUAGCAUGACUGAUAUUAAGGUAGAGUGGUAUGGGUAGCAUGUUUGAGAUCAACAACCUGCUGGCAUUAUAGUGGCGAUUCCAUAGUAGGGUUGAAAAGGUUUGAGCCUUCGAGGUACCAAUGGAUGUUGGUUUUUGGUGAGAUGGUGCCAACAAAUGGCUGCUUGAGGUAGAAGGGCCUCCAAUUGACAUGAGCAGAAUUAUGAUAACCUAAUGAUGGUUUAGGAUAAAAAAAGGAGCCAAUUAUGAAUUUGCAAGAGAAGAUAAAAAAUCGUUAAAAAAUUUAAAUUUACAAGAGGGGCAAGGAACUGAACAAUCUGUAGAAGACUUGGAUAUAUAGUAGUUUUAUUGAGGAAUGGAGAAUAAAAUUGUCCGGUCUUGAGAUUUAGCCUUAGUAAAAAAAUGCACGGCCAGGUAACAGGGAAGCUAGGGGAGAACUGGAGAAGAGAAUGAGAGUCAAAGAAUUUGUUGAUGAUAGUUGUAUAGAGUUCAUGCAGAUGGAAGUGAUAGAAGUAGAUAAAGAGAGGAAAUUAGAAUCAAAGACAAACAAAACUAUUUACAAAAAAACAUUCUCAAACAAAAAAUAAAAUAACAGAAAAAUCUAUGCAAUUUGCAUGGAUAACCUUAUUAUACAACCAGAUUUUUUAAUUUCUCCUAAUGAUAUGGGGUUCUCCUAACUACUUUAACUAAUUUGAGUCUGAUUUCAUUCGCAGUGGACGGAACUGGAGUAUAGUGCGUGAUAUGGUAUGAGAUGGAGCGGUGUCUUUUUCUCCUUUUUGUACUCUAUUCUUCCAAAGAAGCUUUACAACAACCAGACUUGGGUUGCAAUGGCCCAUGCGGUCGAUCUGUCCACCGUUGGUUUGUUUAAUCCAACGGAUUAUACACAAACUAAAUCAACACAUGGUGCAUAUACCAUGGUAUAGGGUAUAGAAGGUUCAUUUCCAUUUAGGCCUUGUUUAGUUCAAAAAAGAAAGUUUUUAGGUACUGUAGUAUAUUUAUAAAUUAUAACUAUAGUAAUUAUAGUCUAAUCAUAAACUAAUUAAGCUUAAAAGAUUUAUCUCACAAAAUAUAUGUAAACUAUGUAAUUAGUUAUUUUUUAAUCUAUAUCUAAUGUUCUAUAUAUGUGUCUAAAUAUUCGAUGUGAUGGGACGAAAAGUUUUUGAGUGAAAACUAAACAGGACUCCGCUGAACCUACCAGCCAUCCAGUGAUCCAGCGAUGUUUUCCUUACAAUAAAUCAGCGAAUAAUAUCUUCAAUUAUGACUUUUUAGCCAAACGAACGGGACGACGUCACGGUCGUCAGUCAUCACAGCAAGAAAAAACUACCUAGCCGGCCUCCGUCUUCAUUAUCACACAACACAAUAUUUCUAGAGCGAGCGAGCAAUAGCCAUAGACACAUGCAUGUAUAUUAUGUAGAAUCAUGCAUCCAGCAGUCAUAUAUCCUGCAGUAGUCUAGCUAGCAAUCUUCAGAUCGAGAGAGAGCACCUAGCUAGAAGCGUAGAAGAAGAAGAUAGAAUCGGGCGGGCGAGGAAGGAAGGAAUUGAAGAAGAUGCAGGACUGGGCACCGGUGUUCAUCUCGUUGGUGCUCUUCAUCCUGCUCUCCCCAGGCCAGGGCUCCUCUUCCAGAUGCCUGCCAAGUCGCGCCUCAUCGCCUUCGGCAACUUCCACACCAGCGUCGCCUCCAUCAUCGUCCACACCAUCCUCUUCUUCGCCCUCGACGCCAUCCUCCUCGUCGCCAUCGGCGUCCGGAUCGAGCUCGGCAACUAGGCAGGCAAAGCUCCUAGCUGAUGACGAUCCAGCUAGCCGUGAUCACAAUCGUCAGAUCGAUGCAUGCAUGAUCGAGCGAGGUGCCUGCCUCCCUUGGAUCACCUACCUACCUAGCUUCAUCUCUCAUCAUACUGCGAGUAUUAAUUCCUCGUGUGUGUUUGUAUGUGUACUACAUGCAUAUAUAGGAUAUAGGAUUAUACUUAUAUAAAAGCCUGAACUUUAAUUAUAUAUGCCAGCAAAUUAAAUUAAAGCUUAAGUCGUUGUUGCUCAUUUCAUAGCUCUAUCUUUUAGUUACGUACUAGCUGCUAUAUAUACUGGUCGAAUAAGAUAUAUGCAUCUAUCAUCAGUACGUAACAGUAACAAACUAGCUAUCAACCUGCAGCUAACUCCGAUUCAUACAUGCAUGCUCACCCUUCAAGGGGCUGUGCAAGCUAUAUAUAGACAGAUCCGUAGUACAUACAUACAUACAUACAUACAUACAUACAUACAUACAUACAUACAUACAUACAUACAUACAUACAUACAUACAUACAUACAUACAUACAUACAUACAUACAUACAUACAUACAUACAUACAUACAUACAUACAUACAUACAUACAUACAUACAUACAUACAUACAUACAUGUUUCUUUAGUUUUCCUCACCAACUCUCUGACUAACAGUCUGCAAGUAUGUCGUAUAUAUAUGUGAGCCAGCCACAAACUUUAUUAAUAUAACCAGGAGAAAUUGAUUUAUUCGCUAGCUACCCCACAAGGAUCCAAAAGAACACUAGCUAGUAGUGUUUCGCAAUAUAUCUCAUGGAUAUAUAUGCAUGUCAGCAUGCAUGUGAAGUCGAUAAGUCCUCGUCUCAUGUUAUUGCAGUAAGUAAGCGAGGUUUGCAGAACAAGGUCAUCCGAAUAUCCGAUCCAAAACGAUCCCGAUUGCAUGUGAUCGACAUAGCUAAUUAAUUAAAGAUCGUAACAAGAAGAUUCCUUGCUUUGCUCUUACGAUCGACCGACCGAUCGAUUUGCAUUUGGCUGCCUCAUUUGGUUGGUGUUGCACGCACGCCACACACAGCAAAACAAGUUGUUAGUCCAAAUCAGGAGUUGACACACGACAGGACAACCAAGACUCCAAGAGAGUUAGCUAGCUACUCCAUUCGUUCCACAAUAAUUUUCAUUCUAGGAAUAAAAAAAAAAUUCUCCCAAUUACUCCUCAUUUUCGGUUCUACUGAUUGAUUUUGCUGUUGCACUUUAAUCCAAACGUGUUUAAAGGAACGAGCUAUAAGAGAUGGCGCACAAGAACAAUUGGUUGUUGAGAGCGAGCUAUAUGUCAUAGACUAGUUCUAUGACGACUACAAGAUUGUCAACGACCGUUCUAUAGCAGAGAAAGCUCAUGAGAUUCAGACAACGGGCAAAAGAAUUUGAGAAUUUUCCAUGUAUGUUUGCCGGGUAAUUAAGUUUGUGGCAUGAAGAAUUAUUGCAAAGUUACUAUCAUCGUGUCCGGAUUUUGUCACUUACCGAAAGCAAAAGAGGCAAGAGUUUACCAUUGAUGGAUCUUUGGAUGUUGAGAAGUCAAGGACACAAAGACACACUUGAUCGAGGCGCAGGAGAAGAGUCGUCGGAUCCAUUAUAUGUUUGCUAUUUGACAGAUCUUUAAUAACAUGCAUACUAGCAUUUGGUUGACUAAAUUAUUGUGGACGAAGUAGAUGGGCGCUCCCCGUUAAUAUACAGUGGAUAUAUACAUGCUCCAACAUAUAUGUUGAGAAUUCCACAAUACUGAAGCCUAAUGAUUGUACGUACUCUGAAAUUUAUGCUCCAUCCUGAAAGACACAGAAGGAAGUUAAAAGGCACACCUGAAUGCAUGUUGUAUCAGUUGGGUUGUUGAUGAGUGAGUCACGCAAUUGAACAAAGACGUAUUGCUCCUAGGCUUACCUCAGCUGCUCAACAUAUAUAUGCAUUGCAUAAAUAUCAUUAGUUGAGGAUAAGGAGAGACGUACGUACGUCCAGAUAGAUAGAUCCCUCUCACUCUCGGUGUCUGUUAUUAUCACACUUUAUACUUUCUAGUAAGAUCGAAGCUAGAAACGCUAGCUAGCCCUGCCGCAUACUGAAUGAAAAAGAAAUAAAGCAAGCAAUUGUAAUGAAGUGUCAUCUGAUGAUGACAACUAUCUCCACCACCUGACCUCUAAUUAAGUAAUGACCGGCAAAUAAAAGUAGCUAGUGUUUUACUGUUUACGUACACAGACGACACACACCAAAAAAAUAAGAGAGAGAGAGAGAGAGAGAGAAAAGCGUCUCCUGAACAUACAUAUACAUACCAGUAUAAUGUAUAUAUAUGGUACACAAUAAGUGAAGGACGACAUGCCAUUGUCAUGUGGGAACGGCCAUGGAAAGCGAGACAUCACCAACCAACCAGAAACAGCAGGCAGGCGGAUCAUCAUAUAUCAUAUACUAGCAAUAUAUCAAUAUGCAAGGCAUGGCCGAGAGAGACUGAGAGAGCGCUAGAGCGAGCACCAGCAAACCAAACCAAAUACGAAAAGCAUGCAGGCCACAUGCGUGUGAUGAGGUAAUAGCUGCAGGCUCACGCCUCACCUAGCUUCUCCGGCUGGCCUUCGUUGUUCCCCAGCAAUUUCGUCAGCCACUCCUCCAUAUAUCCAGCCACAAGUCAAACACAAGACACACAAUUAAUUAAGCGAUCGAUCAUCAUCAGGAUUCAGGAGGCCAGGCGGAUCGACGACGACGAGAUGUCGGACUGGGGCCCCGUGGUGAUCGGGCUGGUGCUGUUCGUGCUCCUCUCGCCGGGGCUGCUGAUCCAGCUCCCCGGCCGCCACCACUUCGUCGAGUUCGGCAACCUGCAGACCAGCGCCGUCUCCAUCCUCGUCCACUCCAUCAUCUACUUCGCGCUUAUCACCAUCUUCGUCAUCGUCAUCGGAGUGCACAUCACCACCGGCAACUAGCUAUCUACCUACCUAUAAUAUCAUAUCUCGAUUCAAUCACCACCUUGAUUGCUUGUUGUAGAUUCAAUCAUAUAAAUCGUCGAUCCUAUUCUUCAUUCGCUUCUUUCUUUCUUUCUUUCUUUCAAAUUCAUGCAUCUGUAUUACUACAUCAUAUAUACAUGUCUUCCUACCUACUUCUGACUCCUCUCUGUCCUUCAUCAGCAUACUAGAGUAUACUGUCGUGUAUGUACUAUGUAUAGUACGGUACGGUGGAUAUGUAAAGGCUUUGUUUGUUUGUUUUGUUUUUUGCCCCUCCGAUCCCCUUGCAAAUAAAAGGAUAUCGGACCAACUCUUUACUUGCCUUCUCCAAGCUUCUAGCAUUUCUCUUGUAACAACUAGAAUAUGUAGGAGCAUAUGUAUGUUAUUAGCUUCUAUAUAUAUGUAUUGUAUGAUCCAUUCUUUGAGUAUGCUAAUUACGUCUCUAACUAAGGGUACUUUCAUAACCAUAUAAGUUUUUUGUGGUUUGUUAAGGGAUAGGAUAUAUAUACACUGCUCCCUCCAUCAUAAAAAAAUAAUGUAAUUCUAGGUUUUUAGCUAGUCAAACUUUGUUAAUUAAGUUUUUAGAAAAUAUUAUUUCUCUAAAUAAGUUUAUUAUGGACAUACAUAUUCCACUCCAAUGGUACUUAUUCCACAUUAUAGAAAUUAGGACUUUUUUAUAGAUUGGUCCUUGAAAAGUGAGAAUUAUGUUCUUUUUUGAGACGAAGGACUAUAUAGGAGAAAUUGUAGUGUUAAAUUUUGUGUUAUGGAGAUCAUACGUGCUAUAUUCAAGUCUCUCUCUCUUUUACCUUUUUGCGGGAAAAGGUUGAGCUUAUAUUAAAUAUGAACAGGGUUACAAUUAUCCGCCACUAAGGCUGUCUCCGGAGCCCUCAUGAUCCACACCUUGGAACAGAGUUGUUUACAAGCAUGUUGGCCUAAACCAUGAGCAACCCUAUUACACAUUAUUACAGUGGAUAAACUCAACCCCACUAAGCUCAUCACCGAGCAACUUAGCUUCUUUCAGCUGUAAUGCAAGCUUUGAGCGAUUAUCUUCAUUAGAUUUUAGAGCUUUGCAAAUUGACAGACAAUCUGUCUCCAAAACAACAGGUAGAUCAAUCCAUUGGAUUGCCAAUCUCAAUCCCUCAAUUAGCGCCAUAAGUUCAGCAACUUCGGGAUCUAAGCAAUGAAAGUGAAAUUGGCUUUAAGCAAAUAGAACUGAACCAUGUGCAUCUCUCGCAAUGAUUCCCAAACCAACAAGGCCAUCCUUUAGACAUGCAUCAACAUUUACUUUCACAUACCCAGAUUGUGGCGGUUGCCACUGAGAUUGCAACCGAGGUGCCUCUCCAUAUACCCCAAAUGUUAUAUAAGACAUGCAUGACAUCGAGUUAGGAGGACCAUAUCUCAGGCAUCUUAUUAGUUAGGUCAUGCAUGCAUGCUAUCAUAAUAAUCAACUUAAUUCAAUGCAUGUCUCCCAACUACUACAACCAUAUCUGAGGCAGCUACUUAAUUUCUCAGCAUCCAUCAUCAGCCUCUUGCAAAAUUAAAUAUUCUAUCCUUUACAAAACUUUAUUUGAUAAUUUUGACCUUACUGUUCAAAGUUUGAUAUUUGGUUGCUUCUUCAUAGAUAUAGAUAUACAUACAUACUGCACGAGAGAAUGAAACCAAUAUGUUGUUGUCAAAGUAUCUAAUUUCAACGGAAAAUGUAUUACACUCUUAAUAGUAUUUGAAUUGACUAACAACUAACAUUUGAUAAAUUAUGACAAGUUAAAGGGAUAGUUGUUUUUACAUGGAGUGAGUAUAUAUGUACUACACUUUCAAAAGAAUACUUUCAAAGAAUUAGAAAAGGCCCCAUAUGUUUUUUUUAUUUUACAUAAGAAAUACAUGUUGUGUAGACAUGACAGAGACGUAUAUGAUCGUCCACUACCUAUCUGCUGUACAUGAUGAUGAUGAGACGAUUCUUGUUCACCACUAAAGGAUGAUGAUAUGACUGAAGCUGAACGGUGGUAGCUAUAGCUUGUGUGAAGAUAAGGCUAAGCACAUUAUAUAUGGCUAGGCCUCUCCCUUGCGAAGCAGGAGCAGGAGCAGGAGCAGGAGCACCGUGCAUCUCACUUUCUGCCUUUGGUUUCGAGAACGUGAAAUGUGUUGUCUCCAUUUGCAGUAUAUUUCACUUUCACAAUGAUGAUCUGAUGGCAUGCGUGGCAGCAUAUAUAAUAUAAGCUCUGAGUCUGACGACAUGUAUUUCACUUUCACAAAGAAAAAAAUUUUCUUUUCGCGAACUAAACAAUGCCUUCAUUUCUUCUUCUUUUUUCCUCUAAACAAACAAUUCUGGAACCAAGUGCUAAUAAUGAAUGUCAGCAAGAAAUGCAGUGGCAGAAAACAAAAUGGCAUACAAUAGCUGAUCAGACAAGGGCCUGUUCGCUUGGCACUGGCGAUCUGGCAUAUACUCCAGAUGGCACUGAGCCUGCUGCCUGCAUUCCUAAAGAUAGCAGCAUCCAAGUCCAACAAACAAUUUUAUUAAUAGAAAUAGAGUUGCUAAACAUAGCAUAGCGGCUCUGCACCAUCUGUUUUUUUUAGGCCCUGCUGACCUCUUUCUAUUCUAUAUAGUAAUAGUGUCAUUAUUUAUAGAAGAUUGGUAGUGUCGAAUUCCUUCAUCACUUCCGGUGAUCGAAAAAGCAAGCAGCUAACAUUACAACAGCACCUCGAGGGACGGCGAUGGGCAAGGCAUCAUGGAGGACGCCGUCCUUGGUCGCAUUGGCGCUGCUGGUGGCGCUCCUGGCGGCAGCAACGGUGGCUGCCGCGGCCGAGGAGGAGGGGUCGUCAGCGGCGCCGGCGCCGGCGGUUGCGGAUGCUGAUGCGCCGGCGGCGGCAGACGAGGACACGGCAGGCGGCGGCGGUGACGGAGCUCCGGCACCAGCGCCGGUGAGCGAGGAACCCAGCCACAAGACGAUAGGCGCCAAGGCCAAGGCAGGGCUGCACACCGUCAUGGCGAGCAUCUCCAAGGGCAAGAACAAGUUCGAGUGCAAAGUCCUGGGCCGCCAUUGCCCCGCCUCUGAAGCUCCCUCCGCCCAGUGAUUAAUUAAUAAUUAAUUAAAACAACAACAACAACAAAAAGCCAUCCAUCAGAUGAUCAUAUCCAUCCACACCACACCACACAUUCUUCAUUUGUUCAAUGCAGUGAUCUGCAAUCUUAUCUGUAUGAAUGUAUGAAUUAUUAUGAUCACUCCCCUGCCCUCUUGGUCUCACAAUGCGAGAAGAGAGCAGAUGAGAUACCUAAUAAUGCAGCCAAACAUGGGUACAUUAAGAAUUUAUUGUCAUUUAUAUUCUUGACUUGAUUCUCAUUAAGAAUGCCCAAUCGAGCAAUCAAUUGGCCGGCAGGUGAUUUAUUCAUUUUGAUCAAAGCCGGCAUGUAAAUAUUAAAACAACAAAACAGCAGAGGAAUGUGUAUGAAUCUCACGAGUGAGUUUGCAAAGCGCAAGAAUGACAGGCAGUCAUCAUUCAGACAGAAAUUCUGUGUUUCAAAAGGAAAAAUGUGGCCGAACACAAAAUCCACAAUAUUGGAAUAUAUUAUCUUCUAUAUCAUCAGAGCAGCAAACAGAGUACUCCAUCCAUUCCAAAUUAUAAGAAUCUUUUGGCUUUUCUACAUUCAUGUCUUUUGCCACUAUGUCUAGAUACGUGGCAGAAAAGCCAAAAUAUCUUAUAGUUUAGAUUGGAGGGAGUAUAUAUCUUCUUGUUGCCAAAACGAAAAGGAAGAUUAAAUGUCAAAUUUCUUUGAGAUCCUUAGUUGCAAAAUAAAAGAGACAUAGUUGUUUUUUUAGGAAAAAUAAAAAAUGGCCACGCAUCAUUCUCAGACUUCCAUAGUUCUAAAACCAGGCAUCACUAAGGUUUCCCUCAUAUAGUAGGAGAUAAAACAGGAUAUAUAUUUCCUACGGCCCAAUAGGAGAUAAUAAUGGCAUUGAUUCACUUGGCACAGAAUUCUACCGCCAAUAAACUGAAUAAAAUAAUACAGGUGGCAGGCAUACAUUUGUCUCAUGCAAUGUAUUCUUGUUUCUUAAUUGGGUAUAUCAAGAACAUCCAAUUAAGCAAUUCAUCCGUCAAUUUGGUAUAUAUUCAUUUCGAUCAAAAGACUAUAAAUUAUGAACCAACAAAACAAAAGAAGAAUGUAGAUGACAGGAGUUGCACGGGGCAAGCAAGCACUUGCCUGACAAUAGCUAAAUCACUGUAAGUGAGUUUGCGAAGCACUAGAAUAAAAGCCAGUUUGAGCAAAUGGGACUUAACACAAGACAAUGACAGUAUUCAGACAUACACUCUACGUUCCAAAAGAAACUCAAGGGUAGAAUCAAAGAUUCAAAUACUAGAAUACAUUCUACUGAUCUGAUCAGAUCAGCAAGCUAGAGUGGUGAAAGCAUCUGUAUGUUUUAGUAACAAAAAAUAAAAGGCAGAUUAAGUAUCGACGUCUUAGAGGUCCUUGGUUGCAAUUGCAAAAAAUAAGAGACAUGACCCUUUUUUUUAAGAAAAAAAGGUCACUUGCCUGGCCAGCACCAUUCUCAGACUGAGAUCUAAAAGCAGGCAUCACUAGGCUAUCUCAUAGUCAUGGGAGAUAAACAGGACAAUAUUUUACUAACGCCAGUGAGGAUAUACCAUUGGACCAAUUGAAAACAGCAGAGGAAUGUAGAUGACACGAGUAGCACGGGCAACCAAAGUAACAAUAGCUGAAUCAGAGCAAAUGAAUUUACAAAGCAAGUAAUUAAAGGCAGAUGAGCAAAUGUGUACCUGCUUUACACAUUAUAAUGACAGUAUAGAGACAUAAACUCUAUGUUUCAAAACAAACUCUAUGGUAGAAGCAAAGAUUCUAUCCAGUAAUAUAAUACAUUCACUCUUCGAAUCAGCAGGCUAACUGACAACAUAUAGAGUGCAGAUUUGGUGCCCAGGGGGGCUGGCACCCUUGUUGGCUAAAAUACCAUGUUGCAAUGUUUCAGAAACCAUCACAAAAAAAUCAUGUAUGUAGUACACAUAAAGUUAAGUGUAGAUGCAACAAUUCAGUUUGAAAUUCGUCCUAGAUGCCAAGAAACAAAAUAGACAGGCAACCAACCUGGCACUGUUCAUCAUGCGCUGACAGUAACACUUCUGCUUUUUUAAUCUCAGCAUCAAAGAUGAAUUUCAAUCUGAAUUCUUGUGGAUACACUUAACUUUAGGUGUACUGCAUACAUGAUUUUUUGUGAUGACUUUUGAAACAUUGUAACAUGGUAUUUUAGUCCUUUAGCUAACGAGGGCGCUAUCAGCCUACCACUCUGGGUGCCAUAUGAUUUUUCCAACAUAUAUAUGUUCUAGCUGUGAAAAAUGGAAAGGCAGAUUAAGUGGCAAUUUCUUAGAGAUCCUUAGUUGCAAAAAAAUAAAACUUUUUUUUAAGAAAGACCACCUUGCCUGGCUUCAGGGGCGAAUCCAGGAUGGGGACAGAGGGGGGGAGGGGGGCGCUAAAUAUUGAAGAUUUAGGGCUAGAGCUAGAGAUUAAUGGUGAUUUGAGGCUAAGUAACAGUGAUUUAAGGCAAACAUCAGGCUCGCGAGGGGGGCUGCAGCUAGCACCGUUCUCAGGCUUUCAGAGUUUUUACUAGUGUGCAAAGCACAAGAAUGAAAAGCAGCGUGCAAAUAGGUACGUACUUCUGACAUAAAUUCUGUGUUUCAAAAUAAAAGGUGUGGCCAACGGAAAAAUUGAAGUACUAGAAUAUGUUGAACUCAUUGGAUCAGCAAGCCAGAGUGGCAACUAUAUAUAUGUGUUCUAUUUGCAAAAAGAAAAUGCAGAACAUAUUUCGAUUUUUAGUCGAAGAAAAGGAGAGACAGAAUUCUACAACCCAUGAACUGAAUGAAAUAAUAGAAGUAUAUAUGCAAUGUAUUCUUGUUUCUUAAUUGGCCAAUUAAGCAAAUCAUCCAUCGAUUGGGUAUAUAUUCAUUUUGAUCAAGAGUAUAAAUAAUAAACCAACAAAACAACAGAGGAAGGCAUGAGUUGCACAAAGAAGGCAGGUACUUGUCUGACAAUAGCUAAAUCACUAGUGAGUGAGUUUGCAAAGUACUAGAAUGGAAGGCAGUUGAGAAAAUGGGACCUAACACAAGACAAUGGCAAUAUUCAAUACACACUGUGUUUCAAAAAAAAUGUACGAGCAAAGAUCCGAAUACUAGAAUAUAUUCUGCUAAUCAGAUCAGCAAGCCAGGAAGCCAUGGCAGAAAGUACUGUUGGCUGAUUUGUUAUGAGAGAAAAAUACUGCUGAAUAGGUGGCAGAUUCGGCUGAUAAGCAGCCAGGAAGCCAUGGCAGAAAGCAUGUUUUAGUUGCAAAAAAAGGCAGAUUAAGUGUUGACUUGUUAGAGACCUUUGGAUGCAAAAAAAUAAGAGAGAUGACCCCUUUUUUUUAAAAAAAAGGUCACCUUGCCUGACCAGCACCAUUCUCAGACUUUCAGAGUUCUAAAAGCAGGCAUCUCAUGGUCAUGGGAGAUAAACAGGACAGUAUUUUACAAAAGUAUUCUACAAAAGCCCGUGAGGAUAUAAUAACAUUGGUCCAAUUGAAUAACUCAUCCAUCAAUUGGCCGGAAAUAUAUUAUUCUUUUGAUCAAGUGAGUAUAAAUAAUGAACCAACAAAACAACAGAGGAAUGUAGAUGACACGAGUUGUGGGGCAACCAAAGUGACAAUAGCUGAAUCAGAGUGAAUGAAUUUGCAAGGCACGAGAAUUAAAGGCAGUUGAGCAAAUGUGUACCUCCUUUACACAUGAUAAUGGAGUAGAGAGACAUAAACUCUAUGUUUCCAAAGAAACUCUAGGGUAGAAGCAAAGAUUCUAUCUAGUAACAAAAUACAUUUCACUCUUCGGAUCAGCAAGCUAACUGAUAACAUGUGUAUGUUCUAGCUGUGAAAAAGGAAAGGCAGAUUACGUGGGGCGAUUUCUUAAAGAUCCUUAGUUGCAAAAAAAAAAAUUGGACACCUUUUUUAUUUUAAGAAAGACCACCUUGCCUGGCUAGCACCAUUCUCAAAUUUUCAGAAUUCUAAAAGCACUCAUUAGUCAUUACUAGUGACUUAGUGAGCAAAGCACAAGAAUGAAAAGCAGUGUGCAAAUAGGUACAUACUUCAGACAUAAAUUCUGUGUUUCAAAGGAAAGGUGUGGCUGAAGCAAAAAUUGAAGUACUAGAAUAUGUUGAACUCAUUGGAUCAGCAAGCCAGAGUGGCAACAAUAGUAUGUGUUCUAUUUGCAAAAGGAAAAUGCAGAUCAUAUUUCGAGUUUUAGUCAUAAAAAAAGAAGUGGGGAAGACCACCUUGCCUGCCUGGCACCAUUCUCAGAGUUCUAAAAGCAGUCAUCACUAGCAUUUCGCUCAUGACAGAUAAGCAGAACAAUAUUUCCUAUAGCACAAGAGAUAUGAUAUUGAUCCACUUGGAACAGAAUUCUACAGCCCAUGAGCUGAACGAAAUGCAAAAUAGCAAUGCUGACACUAAUAAAGCAAUGCAAAUCAAGGAAAAGAUGUAAACAGAGGCAUGCACACAAGAGUUCAACAAUAGCCCAAUAAUGAUACCAUAGAACACAGCAAAAAUAUACAGCAUGGCUAGUGGAUACCAUUCCAACACAAGAUCCGAUAUAUCUUUCAGACAAAAACCUUUUCACCAGCAAUUUGAUAUACCAAUUGUAACAAACAUAUGCAAUAUCCCUGGUGCUGCCUCAGGUAGCCCAGUGCAGUGGCAUUAGAAAUCUACAGUGGGUCCCAUGAAAAUCCCUGGUUAUUUGAAUCACCUCAACUCAAAAGAUCAAAAGAAAACGCAGAGUCCGCGUAUCCGCUCACCCCAACUCACAAAGCUUCACGGGCUACUUACUAAUCAGCUUUUGCGGCAGCAGCAGCCUUGACGGCCAUGAGAGCGCACGCCUCAAAUCUCUUGACUGCUUCAGCACACUUGAGCGGGUCCUUUGCGUUGGUCUUGUAACACUCAAGGCAGCCUGCCCUCUCCUGGGUGCAGGGCAUGGGGUUCUGGUACGGCAGCUUGAACUCCUUGUCGUGCAGCUCCUUUGCUCUCUUGCUGAGCUCUUGGCGUGCCCCAGCUUCCUGCUUCUCCAGCUUCUCGAGAACGGACUCGCUUUCUUUCAGGAUGGAGCGGAUGGCUUCCACCUCCGGCAUUGUGGCCGGGGGUGGCGGGGGCGCAGGGGUCACAGGCAGAAACAUUGGGGGAGGCUGCAGAGGCCACCCAGGAGCAGGAGCAGGAGCAGGAGCAGGGCUGCUCGUCUUGGGUUCGCUUGGGAAUUCCGGGGGCUCUUCAUGUGGCUGCACGAUGGGCUUCUUCUUAGGCUUGGGCUUCCUGGCUUUCCGUUUCACCUUCUCAUCAUCGCGAGCAAGCUGGUCGAUGAGCUUGGUGCUGAUCUGGAUUGUGUAGUCACCCAUUGCAGCAGAGACGAGUCCUGCACCAAUAGCAAGCAUAUCAAUGGCCACCUUCACCUUGCAAGAAUGCUGAUCGGAUCCAAUAAUUUUUGCAAAAACUUCAAAGUUAGAAGGAUUGUCAAAUAGCUAAAUCGCUUUAGGUUAGGGUUUCGGUGCUCAGCUUCGCACAGCAUAAGGGAAGGGAAGAGAAAGGGUAGGAGUACCUGGUGGGUGCUCGUCGCCGGCGAAGAGAACAAGGAAAGCCUCAGCACCCGGCGGAGGCGGCGGCGGCAGCGGCCCAACAGUCGUCGGGGAGCGACAGGGUCUCGAGAGAGAGAGGAGGAGGAGGAGAGGAGGAGGAGGAAUAGGGAUGCAGCGGACGGAAGGGGAAGCAGGUUAUGCAUCGCCGGCGGAAAAAAAACGCACGGGCUUCUUGUGGGCCGUUUUUUCAGUUUCUUUAAAAAUUUGUGUUUUUUUUUUCUUUCUCUCCCUUUAUAUUUUUUAUUAUUCUUGUUGAUUAUAUAUAUCUAUUAUAUUGAUUGGACACUAUCAAUGGCUUGGUAUGAACUCAUUAAAAAAAUCCAUGCUCCAAUAAGAACUAAUAAAAAGUAUUGACACUUCAAUAUCUUAUGAAAAAUUUGAGUCUUUCUAGCACUCUCUUUUGAUUUCUAGCACUCUCUUUUGAUUCUAUAAUUUGCUAAGGAUUUUUAUGUUGUAACAGGGUUAAAGAUUAAGUUUAAAAAUACUUUUGUGUUAGAAUUGCCACACUUUAUCGACCUUAAAUAAUCUGGCUAAGCGAGUGUUAUGCUUUAUGGGAAAAAAAUUGCUAAAAAGUAUAUAGCAAGAGUAAAUAAAAAAAAUGCUAGCGCAAAUUGUGAUAGACAUCUCACAUGAGAACAAAACGCGGCCAAUGGCUAAUAACGAGAGAGAAAUAAGGUUGCAUUUUAUCUUUGUUUGCAUUGCCAGGUUGAUAGUUAAUGAGACCCUAACAGUGAUUAAAAUGCAAUUUAAACCAGGAUAACACGAGAGAACAAGUUUAAGAUCCAUCCAUGCACUUUACUCUCAAAACAAUCACGAAACACAAAAAUUGGCAAAAUUCGCUCUUCCCAAUUUCAUGAUCACAUCUCAUCGAACUUGAGUUGCACUAUCAUCAUUCCUCAUCUCAACGGAUUCCAACUAAAAUAUUAAUAAUAAUGUCCAUCCAACUAGACUACCUCCACCUUAUCAUAUCUAUCUUCCCAUCAAACAGCACAGCUUCAGUCCCCACCACAUAAUCCUCGUCUCAUUGUGUUGAGCUUGGCGUGUCCACGCCAUGGAACUUUCUCCCAGCUUCGAUGGCCUCCCUGUUUGUGUGUUUCAUCGACAUGACCAAAAGAUCUUAGCACAAGAACAGCCUGCUAGCAAAACAAAAGGCGUCUUCUGUACAAACCAGGUAAUGCUUCCAAGUUCUAACCUGAAUGCGCUGACAAGCUCUUUGUUCUCUGGAUCCAGCUGCACCCCCUCAUAAAAGGCAUUUGCGGCGUCCUCAAACCUCUGCCAGGAUCACCACAAACAGCAAAUGAACUAGUCAUCAUCUAAACACAAAUCAGUAGUGGUUGAAUUCCCAUUCAAAUCACAGACCAUCGCAUACCUGUAACAGACGAUGGGCUGCACCUUCCCUGUAGCAAGCUUUCGCCCAAUCUGGUCUUAAUGCCCGGCAUGCUUUCGCAUCUUCCAGAGCACGUUCAGCUUGCCCUGCUCGCAGCCAGCAGAGGCUCCUGUUUGAGAGCACUGUUGCAUCAGUUGGGUCCAACUCUGUAGCCUGAAAUGCAAUUCCAUACCAACAUUAGUCUCUUGCAGCUAAACUGACAGCACUCAGGAUAUUGAAGAAUAAUAGUUGGAUCUAAGGUAUGGUUAAAAGCACAAUCCCAGAGUUCAAUAUUGCUGUGCUUUGUCUAUGCGGAAAAAUCAAUCCAUCUUAGUUACCUGCGUAUAAGCAUCCACUGCUACAAGGUAGUCCUUUCUUCUGAAGGCAUCAUCACCUCUUGAUUUGGCUUCCAAGGAUCUUUUCUUUGCUUCAGGUGACACCUGCACAGCAAAUUAACUAACGUCAGAUUUCAAUUUUCAGUUGACAUCAACAAUUAAAUCAAGCCUACCUUUAUUUAAGAUGAUAGAGGCCUGCAGCCCCUGAUUAUAUGUCCUAAUACAUGUAUAUGAAUAGACCUGACUGUCAUUUAAUAUAGUACAAGCCCAGACUGACACCAAAACUAUGUAACAAGUGCAUGACAUACCUCAACAGUUUGUGUUCGGCCUGAUUUCAGAGAUGCUGCUUCCUUCGAUUGAGACUGCAAAGUUUGUUUACCAGUUAGCAGACACAGAGAGCUUUUCUUUUUCUGGUUAGAGGUUUAUGGAUCCGAUGACAAUGCAAAAUAACUAAAAAUCUAAAAUGAGGCACCUUUUCCCCAUAUUCUUUAGGUAGCAUCUGUUCUAUAAUCCCAUCUACGUUCCAGUUUGAAACACCUGGAAUUGGGGAUGUUAAUGGUAAAAGAAGUUCCACAGCUUCCCGGUUAUUUCUCCAAGCAGCAACCUGAACUGGCUUCAGUUCAUCCUGAGGUAAGAAAUCACAUGGCAAUCAAGUUGUAUUCAGUGUUCGUUGGCAUGAUCUGGAUACAAAGACCAAAAGAUUGCAGCAUCUUUAUGGAUAUUUAAAACAGGUCAACAUAUACCAUGAACCUGAUAUUGAAAUUUCAGUAUGACGCUGCUUGUUUUAUUACGAUGAAUACAACUUACAUCAUCGCAGAUAUUCGGGUCAGCUCCAGCUUUAAGCAAACAUUUGAUGACUUCUAUAUUUCCACUAUCUGCAGCAAUAUGCAAAGGGGUUGCUCCACCAGCCUUGACAUUUGGGUUUGCACCAGCCUACAUUGCAUAUUAUUCAGUUAGUUUCUGAGGUAGAAGACAUAGUUGAUCCUCCUUCCAUCCAUAGAUAGAAGGCGCAACUCCUCCAGCACCAAGACCAAUAAACGAUUUGAUUUAUGUGCGUUCUGAGGAGAGCAUUUUGGAUGUCGUGCAUGCAGGAAUGGCCAGCCCAUUCACUCCUCCACACGUGAGAGAGAGAACAUGCAUGCUCUGUGAGUAACGGUCUGUGCAUGUGGUGAGGGAGGCGAUGAGGUUAGCAGACACAGCAGUAAAUGUUGCAUGCACGUGAAUGGUGCCAGGACUCGGCCGCCUUAUAUACUCUGACUAUAGAAAAAAAGUGGUUACACUUGCACCUUCUAUUCACAGACGGAAGGAGUACAAGGUAUUAGUAACUAAGUACAUGGAACAAUAUUGUGCUGCGUGUAUCAGUCAACUAAGCAUUUCAGCCUUCUUCCUUGAAACUCCUAUAUGCCAGCAAACAAGCAUGACAGUUUGCAUUGCGUAAUAUAAAGCAAGACUGGAAAAUAGGGGCACCAGAAAUAUGCUUAAUUUUAUUUAUGCGUGUAUUCCUAUGAAUCCCAAGGGCAUAGGACACAGCUGAAGUAAGAAGAUAUAGGGGGGGGGGAGGGGGAUACAGGUGUUUUAUGCUCAUCAAAUUAGACUAUGUACCUUGAUUAGAACCUCCAAGCAUGGGAGGGAACCUGCAGCAACAGCAGAUAGCAAUGCUGUGACACCAUCAUCGUUUUCAGUAUUUGGCUGCAAAAAGAAAAGAUAUAUAAAAAGAAUUAGCCCAUUUGCAAUGUCAUAGGAAACUUAAAUAACUUCAUGCCAUACUCAGGAAUCACGAUUUAUUUAUUGUGCUCCAGAUUGACACAUUUGGAUCCAGAGAAACAUAUGCAUCUCUUGCAUGGUGGCUUGAACAAUUCAAACAAGUCUAGAUGAAAGAUGUCACUAACGGCAGAUAUAAGUCUGGAAAAGGCAAAGGUUCACAAGUAACGUUUGCUGCACCUACUGGCUUGGCUACAAGAUAAUCAAUUGAUUGUCUUCGACAUUUAUAUUAGUCCCGUUAUACACCUCUGUGCUUUUGUCCUGAUCUUGUAGGUUAGUAACGAACUAGGGGUCUCCUCUAUUGUUCUCCGGACCAAACACGAAAAAGGAAAGAAAGAUUGCUGCAUGUUUUUUGUAGUCAUUGGUUCAGAUCAAGGAGAUAGGGUUGCAAUCAGGAAAAAAUAAAUAAAUGGUCAUGGAGAAGUACUGAGGUGAAUUGACAGCAUCGGAAGAGUUACAUUCACAAAGCUUAGGCAGCCUAAUGUUUGGUGCUAAACUGAAUAUGUAGUCAGCAUGUUUUGAAAGAACAAUCGAAAACUGAGCUCCGAACCAUAUAAUAAAUGUAAGAGGUACGGUACCUUAGCAUUGUGUUGAAGCAGAAGUUUGACAGCAUCCGAGUUGCCAUGACCAGCAGCCCACACAAGGGGAGUGCCAGCGUCGCUUUCUGAUUCGACGUCAACUCCCUUGGAGAGGAGAAGCUUCAUGAGCUCCGUAUUCCCUGCUCAAGCAAAAGAGAUGUUGCUAUACAUGAUUUGGUGAUUAUUGGCUGGUGGUGCGGAAGGGUUGGAGCACAAAGAGGCGCGCAUGUUACCUAUGCCUGCAGCAUGGUGUAGCGCUGUGGCUCCUAGGUUGGUGGCCACCGAAGGAUCAGCUCCAUGGUCAAGGAGGUACUUGGCAGUGUCCAGAUGGCCCUGGCGUGUAGCAUGGAUGAGUGGAGUUUCGCCUGGGGAGGAUGAGGAGUAUACAGAUGAGAUGGCAUAAUGCAUGAUACUACUACACUAGGCAUACAGGAUUACUGGGCCACACAGUGCAUUAUAUACAGUAGAGAUGAAAAUCAAAGCAAAGGAAAACGGAAAUGAUGUAUUGUACUGGGGUACACAGUGCAGUAUAUACAGUAGAGAUGAAAAUCAAAGCAAAGGAAAAGGGGAACGUGGUAUUAGACUGGUAUACUCUGGAAGGUACCAACCAUCAUCGUCCUUUGGGUCGACAGGGAGGCCGAGCUCGCCGAUGAGGAAUUCACAGACGUCGGCGCGGCCCUCGCGCGCGGCGAAGUGGAGAGCAGUGCGCUUGUUGGCGUCGCGCACGGCGGAGGCGACGGAGGCGGCGCCCGUGCCGUCCUCGUCGAGCACCGCGACUAAGCCUGCAGGUAAGCACCGGGUGCGAAGACGGCAAACACGGUGAGGGAGAGAGUUGAAUCGAUGAAGGAGGACAAAGGAAUCUUGAAAUCGAAUUGGCACGUACUCUUGAGAGACUGGAGGUCGCCGGCGCGCGCAGCCUCCAGGAACGCCUGCACUUUGCUCCGAGCUGCCAAUUCCAAGCAAGCAAUGUGGGGAGUUAACCAAACUGAGCGACCGAGAAGCGGGGAUUGUUUCGUUGGAUCUAGUAGAAGCUAGGUACCUGAGAGGGCGGCGGUGGCGUCGGCCUCGGCCUCGGCCAUGAGAGAAGCGGAAGCUUGGGUUUCCGACCGGGGUGGGGUGGGGUGGGGAGGGGGAAAGUGGAGGCGGCGGCGGCGGUGAGGGAGGCAGAUUUCUCAGUCAGGCCAGGCAGAGUCGGGAAGGCAGGAGAAGAGUCGACUCGGGAGGCCGGGCCGAGUCUCUCUCUCUCUUUCUCGUCUACUAGGAACGGAAGGCCCAUUAGAGUUAGAGCCCAUUCCUUAGGCAAGUCUUAAUGAGAUUUCAUCAAAGUUUGAUGAACAUUAAAUAUGCUGAUGUCGCAGUGUAUUAAUGCAGAGAGUCUAUUAAACUCUUCUGCAUUAUUUCUAAAGUAAGAUGGGUUAGAUAUAAAACUCUCCAUUAAAUCAUGUCGAUUUGUUGGUGUUUGACUGAGGCCCAUUUUUUUGUCUACCUAACAUUCUUUUGACAUAAACACAAGGACAAAGGUCAGUAAAUCUAUCAAUUUGCUGCCAAUGUAUGCAAAUCUUCACCAUAGCCAGAUAGUUUUGAUAUAGAGGCACACUCGUUUCGUUUGUAUACAAACUUUUUUUGACGCAAAUAGUGGUACGGUGGAACUCUUAUUACCCACCCGUAUUGCAUUGCUAAUUGCUAUCACCUCCUCCUAUUAUCUAUUCUAGCAGGACAUAGCUAGCUAGCUACAAAAUUUGCUAGUCCUAACUUAAAGCAGAAGCCCUGAGCAAAGUGCCAACCACAGGCAUCCACAGGCCGCCCAAACGGCUCGAGCUUGGGUUUUGUGUCUUCGUGAUAGCUGCUUUAGCCGCCGAUGAUGAUGAUGAGGCCCCAUGUGAAUGGGAUGAUUUCUCCUCAGACGCCCCUUCCCUGUUUCUCGUAUGACGACAUGUUCGGCCAACACCCUCCUGCUCCUGCUCCUGCAAUGCAAACCUCAGUCAAAGAGCAACCAAAUUGUUUGAAUAUAAUAAACACUGAAACGGAUUGGAAAAAUAAAAAAAGCUCCAACCGAACCGAACCGAACCUGUGAUACCGUCUCAGGCCCUUCAGCCGCAGGUGAAACCUGCAUGGAUGUCUCUGCUCUAGGCGAUUCAGCUACAAGUGAAACUGGCGGCUCCAGAGCUAGACGAGGCAAACAAAUAGCCUGUCGUAGGGGGCAACAAAACAAAGUCAACAAGUGAAACCAGUCUGACUAGGAAAAAUGCCGGACAAGGUAUAAAUAAAUAAAUAUAUAUAUAUAUAUAUAUAUAUAUAUAUAUAUAUAUAUAUAUAUAUAUAUAUAUAUAUAUAUAUAUAUGACUCUUUAUUACCCUCCCAACAAUUCGAUCUGAAGAGGAAUCCAUAACUGCAGGAAUGGAUGACGACGACACCUGAAACUCAAAACGCCUAUUAAGAUCAGAAGAGAACCAAAGGAUGGGCUUAACUGGUAAUAAAGAGUUUUGAGCAAAACACAGCACUUCAGAUCACACGAGCAGCACGCUGCAUGCCAUAAUAAGUGACUUGCCUGACGAACAUUGGCAUUCUGGCUAGGUUCCAUCUUUAGGGUGAACUCACAUAAGUGAUUUAUUCCAUCUACCGUUUGAUCCUACCAGGAUUUGUAAUCAGAUAACGUUAGGCACAUGUACAACCUGUAAAGGGAACUGUGGUGUUAUGAUUUCUCCUUACCUGAGAGCUUUCAAGACGCCCCAUCUUGGAUUCCUGCAAGAUUUAUAUACAGGGAGCAUGAUUUCUAUCAGUAUGUGAUACUUAUAUCCUCAACAAGGUACAAAUGUUCUAGUACAAGGUCCCUACCAGAGUUCGAACUACAAGAUUGACUGAUUGCAAAUCCUCCUGGAAAGCACUUAGAUCUCCAUGUAUGAUUCCAACCUACAGGUCAAUAAGCUCUGCAUGAUUAUCCACCUUCCAAAUACAUCAAAACCAGAUAAACAAAUAAUUCUAUGCUGCAAUAAGGUUCCACCUCAUCCCUUGUGCCUUCAAUAAUCUGCUGGGUUUCAUCUAAACUAAUAUCCACACGAUCAAUCCUCCCAGCUAGAUGUUUCCUUGUAACCUGAACAGUAGUAACUAGAGAAUUAUGAAUAUGUUUUGGUUGGCAAUAAAACUGAAAUUCCGGUGAUGUAAUGCAGUCUCUGAAUGUAGCGCAAGUGAAAAUGGAAACAAACAAUUUAAGAAAAAACUUACAACAACAGAGUCUGAAACUUGAUCCAAAUGGCUGCCAACAGCAGUGCAAGCUUCAGCUAAACCACGUUUUGUCACAAACAUCAUAUCAGAGAGUUUCCAUCCCUGUACAUUAAUGCCCAAACUUUAGAUACUAGUAGCUACCAUUAUUAGUCAAACAUGGCGUUUAACUGGUAAGAAAGGGGCUGUAACAAUAAUACAAUAUAUGCAGUUAUUAUGACCAGGAUAUUAUAGCUGGCAAAAACAUUAGCUGAAACUAAAUAGUAUUGAAUGGUAAUUUAGCAUUGAUGAUCUGUACACUUCCAUCCAUAAACUAAGAGAACCUUACCUUCCACUUUAUAUAAGCAUAGCCGAUAGCCCCAGCAACAACAAUGGCUGUUAUAGUAUAUGUGUUGGGUCCUACAGGAGGAGGUAAGAUAACAAUUAUUCAGGGCUCGUUUGGAAACAAAAUAAUCCCGUCCAAUCCAUAUACGUAACGAAAAGAAGCUGGUGACGAAGUUAGUUCCACUAAUCCAUAUGUUUUUGGGAGGGAAUGGGUUUGUCAAAAGAAGCCCUCCAGGACUCUGAUAAAUAUACUGUACAAAUUACAAAGGAGUGGCAGUUAUUGAGCCCUGUUUGUUUAAUGGGAACAGUCUUAAAGAGAUCAAUACCAAUAAAAGCAAUUGAAAUAGCAAGGAAGCAUGAGAAACAUGCAAAAGUUAUAAGAAAAAAUAAGCAUUACAAGCAUCUAAAAACUUAUGAGAAUGUAACUCCCAUUCACAUCUGAUGCACGUUUUAUCUGGACCUAUACACAAAAGCCAUUCGCCGUUAACUUUGCGUUUGUGAAAGUUCAAUUGGUUACAGUCAUAAACCACAACUAGUAGAUGCAGAAUCCACAGUGCAUCAGUGCAUGGAUAUCGUCAAUAGAAGCCAUAAGCAAAGCACUGACCAGAAUUCGCAGCUGCUGUUACUAUUGUAUUUGGUGUUGUGGCUAGGGUCUGUAUCUCCUCCCUGAGAUUGUUGAUCUGAAAUAUAAGAGAUCCCAUUAAUCAUCAUAUCUAGACGUUUAGAAUUGUCCAUGUAGAGCCAGACAAAAGUUAACAUGUUGACGCACAAACCUGAGAUAGCAACUGAUUCUGAUCGCUGCUGCCAGACUUUGUUGUGGCACCGCCUUCUUUCCCAUGUUUCUUCACAAACUGUACAAGACAGACAGACAAGCACAAGCAAAGCUAUGAACCCUGUUUCUAUUCCUUGAUAAGGGUCAAUCUGACCAAGAAGGUAACAAUGUAAUACUAUACUACCUCGGUGGCUCCAGAGAAUACAUCCCCCAGUUUAGGAAGUUUGGCGUCACCCGUGAGAACGGAUCCAGCGACCCCUGCAAGCAACAUUGAACAUCUGGACACGUCACUACUUGCAGAUAACUGUGAUUUUACUAUGAAGCAACAGGUUGCAAGAUGUGAUUGUAAGCACGCGCUGCAAGAUCAUUGUUAUCUAGGAAAAGUAGAUGGAGAAGCACUAGAGAAUCCUUCUGAUUUCACCAAUACUUAAUAGCAAGUGGAGGGACGUGCGUACGGCAGCAGACGAAUUAACGUACCUGCCACCAUGAUCCAACCAGGACCUAACGCAGCAAAAUAGUACAACAACUACUCGUGGCAAAUUAAGCGAGCAACCUCUAGCACAGGGAUGAACUAAUAAUAGCUAAGGUAGAUUGGGUGUAGCCUAGGUCAUGAGACGCCCCACAUCUGCUAGUUGUCGUUGUUACCACAGACUGCUUCAAAUUCCAAUUCAAUCUAGCACACAAUCUCGAUCAACACACCGCCGCGCCGCGAAAUUAAAAGACGGAGCAAGGAGAGAAGCGGUUUGAGGGUGGGGAACGGCAGUGACGACGAACCGGAGCCGAGGAGGAUCAGGACACCGCCGAGCACCAUGGGUGAGGCCGGAACGUGAACCGCCGGCGACGGCGAGCGAACGAUCUGCUUACCGCAGCGGCGGCGGCCGCGAUGGCGAUCUAUCUAUUUAUUAGUCCGACCCCGACUGUUCAAAUUUCCUCUAUCAAAUCAAACUGCAGUACUUAUAAUUCUCUAUCUCUACUAUUUAUUUAUUUUCUUGUUAUUAUUAUAUGAUAUAUAUAUAUAUAUAAUUGGAUUUAUUAGUAGUACUAGUUACAACUUUUUAAUAAAAACGCCCAGCCCAGCCCGUUAAUCAGAUCUGUUGGGCUGGAUGAUUUUCCUAUUUUUUUUUUUUUGUUACAGCAUUUUCUUAUGAAAAUGAAUUAUAAAAUUUCUAUAUAAUUCCUGUAAAAGAUUUGGAUUCUAAAAGAGCCCAUCGUCUGAUCUGAUACUAGGAGCCUGCGUGGGUAGGGACUAGGGACGGUAGGAUGGGCUUGGCUGGCUUGGGGUAACAAGAUGAGUGAGUGAAAUGGGCUUGGCUGGGCUGUUUGUCCAUACAUUCAUGCUUGGCCCACUGGUCCCUCUUCACUCUUUUCUUUUUUCUUUUUUGAUUGAAGAAUAGAUAUAGGAGUACAUAUUUGGGUUGGGACCAUACGGUACAUAUAUAUUAUUAUUAUUACUAUUACAUCAGUAAGUAGUAGAUGUAAACGGAUGUUCGUUUCUACGAGACACGACAAGUAGGUAAUCCCUCCACAUUGUACAUGGAUAAGAAUACAUACAUACAACAAUGUGUGUGAGAGAGAGGCAACAACUUGGUAUUAGCACUCGCACCUUAUAUAUGAGCACAACUCUGAACUGAGUCACUGGCCAUCGUCUUGUUUGUUGGUAAAUAAAAGUAGUAAAUUGAGAAACUAUUCUGUUUCCAUUUUGGGUCCUUGUUUAGUUUAAAACUUUUUUGUAAAAUGAAUAUUGUAGCACUUUUGUUUGUAUUUGACAAAUAUUAUCUAAUUAUGAACUAACUAUGAUUAAAAGGUUCAUCUCACAAAUUACAGGUAAACUGUACAAUUAAUUAUUUUUUAUCUAUAUUUAAUACUCCAUGCAUGUGUCACAAGAUUCGAUAUGACGGGAAUUUUGCAAAAAAAAAAUGGAAUUAAACAAGGCCUUGACAAUGCUAAAAAGGUAUACAAAUGAAUUUCCCCUCUAUUUUAUUUAAAAUAUAAUUAGUUAUAAAGAAAUGAGAGCAUCAUCCUAUAAUAUAAAUAAGGCUAAUUUUGUCAUGGAAUACCUGACAAACGCCGGAUCACAUUGGCAGAUAUUAGUAGUAGCAGUAUUGGUGUUUGAUUCAAGGUGUUAAAGUUUAAUAGAUAUUGUAGUUUUUUCGUUUUAUUUGAUAAUUAGUAUUUAAUUAUGGACUAAUUAAGCUCAAAAAAUUUAUCUUGAAAUUAAUCUUUAAUUGUUUUUUAGUUCAUAAAUAGUCUAUAUUUAGUAUUUUAUGUAUAUAUCUAAAUAUUUGAUAUGAUAGAAGUUGAACUUUACCGACCCAAACCAAACAAUGCCUUAAAAGAAAAAGAGAGAGAGGACGUGGCAGUAUAAGACCUUGUUUAGUUCACACAAAAACUAAAAAGCUUUUUAAGAUUCUCUGUAAUCUUACGACAUAUGCAUAAAGUAUUAAAUAAAAAUAAAAAUAAAACUAAUUGUAUAAUUUAUUUAUAAAUUAUAAGAUGAAUUCUUUGACUCUAUGAUUGGACAAACAAAACCAUGGGCUUUGUUUAGUUCCAAAAUUUUUUGCAAAAUCGACACUGUAGCACUUUCGUUUGUAUUUGACAAAAAUUGUCCAAUCGUGGACUAACUAGGCUCAAAAGAUUCGUCUCGUCAAUUUCGACCAAACUGUACAAUUAGUUUUUAUUUUUAUCUAUAUUUAAUACUCCAUGCAUGAGUCUAAAGAUUCGAUGUGACGGGGAAUCUGAAAAAUUUUGCAAAAUUUUUUGGGAACUAAACAAGGCCCAGAGGAGGGUAGAAAUGGCAAAACGCACUCUUCCCGCCAAAACACCCACCUCCGCUGGGGCUUGGGCGAUGCACUGCACCUGCACUGCACCCAUGGGAGAAUCCCAAAGAGGCAACAGGGCCCACUCCAUAGCUGUCGUCCACUUCCUUGACCGCUCAGACUUCUGCACGCACGCAGAGCCAAAAAAAACAUCUCUUCCGCUCUUCCCCUCCGUCAAAAUUGUUUUCACACACGAUCUCCUGCCCAAAAUACAAGACAUGUUAGUUUUUUAUAGCACUAAGGCCUUGUUUAGGUCCAAAAAUUUUGCAAAAUUUUUCAGAUUCUCCGUCACAUCGAAUCUUUAGACGUAUGCAUAGAAUAUUAAAUAUAGAUAACAAUAAAAACUAAUUGCACAGUUUGGUCGAAAUUGGCGAGACGAAUCUUUUGAGCCUAGUUAGUCCAUAAUUGAACAAUAUUUGUCAAAUACAAACGAAAGUCCUACUAUUUCUAUUUUACAAAAAAAAUUAGAAGUAAACAAGGCCUAAAGAUAAAAAGUUUUUAAUAUUUAUUUUUAGUCUUUUUCAACAACAAAAUUUAAAGACAACUUUUAUUGGAUAUUUAGAUUUAGGUUAUACCUCUUCUAACACGUAGAGUAGAUCUUGUAUAUACGUAUUUUAACCCGUUUUAUAUUUAGGCCUUGUUUAGUUCCAAAAAAUUUUGCAAAAUUUUUCAGAUUCCCCGUCACAUCGAAUCUUUAGACACAUGCAUGAAGUACUAAAUAUAGACAAAAAUAAAAACUAAUUGCACAGUUUGGUCGAAAUUGACGAGACAAAUCUUUUGAGCCUAGUUAGUCCAUGAUUGGAUAAUAUUUGUCAAAUACAAACGAAAAAGCUACAGUGUCCAUUUUGCAAAAUAUUUUGGAACUAAACAAGGCCUUAGAUUCCAUAAUAGAGCUUUGUUUAAUUCACUAAAAUCUAAAAACUUUUCAAGAUUUCUCAUUACAUUGAAUCUUACAGCACAUACAUGAAGCAUUAAAUAUAAAUAAAAAAACAACUAAUUGAACAAUUUGUUUGUAACUUGCGAACCGAAUAUUUUAAAUCUAGUUAGUUCAUGAUUGACAAUAAUUAUUAAAUACAAACGAAAGUGCUAUAGUAUCAAUUUUAAAAAAAAAACAGAUUAAAGAAGGUCUAGGUCUCCCCCUUACCGCUAUCAUCAAACAAUCUUCUAUUGAAAAAGAAACUAAAAUAUUCAUUGGUCUGAAAAAUUAUAGCUGAAAGUACCGUUCGUUCACUGAUUUAUUGUGAGAGAAAAACACUGUUGACUAGUAUAAAAAGUACGGCUUAUAUGGUUUGAAGUUAUUUUUCUUUUGAUUUUUUUAUAGACCUAAUCUUUAUUUAAAUAAACCUUCCAUCAUCUAAGAGGACCCUCCUAACUUAUCGAUAAUCAUAAGAAUUUAUGAUCCUGGUUAAAAUGGUAUUAAGGACUUAUAAACUGUCUUAGGUACGUCCCAACGACACAUGUUCACGUACCAGUAGAGUACUCCCUUUCUAAAAGCUUCAGUAUUAUAAUUGUCUUAAGUCAACUUUUUUUUUAAACUUUGACUAAUUUUUCUAGAAAAAAUGCUAAAAUUUAUAAACCAAAUUAGUAACAUUAAAUUUAUCAUAGAAUACAUUAUACUCAUUUUAUACUAUAGAUAUUGAUGAUCUUUUCUAUAAAGUUAGCCAAACUUAAAAAAUAAUUUACACAGAUUCUAGAAAUUGAAGCCUUUAAGAACAAAGGAAAUACCUCUCUAUUCAUCAAAUUAUAUAAGUCUUUCUAAUACAUUUGGAGAAUCAAAACGUAACACGUUUGAUGGAUUGUAUAUAAUAAAAUAAUAAUAUUUAUCGUAUCAAAUAAAUAUAUUGGAUUUUUUAUUUAUUGUAUUUUCAUAAUAUACCAUAUGUGCAAUUUGCGGCACAUGUAUAGAGCAUUAAAUAUAGAUAAAAAAUAACUAAUUACGUAGUUACCUGUAAUUUGUCAGAUGAAUUUUUUGAACCUAGUUAGUUCAUGGUUGAACAAUAAUUAUCAAAUAUAAACGAAAGUUCUAAAGUAGCCGAGACUAAAAAAUUUCUAAAAACUUUUCAAGAUUAUCUGUCACAUCAAAUCUUACGACACAUGCAUAAAACAUUAAAUAUAGAUAAAAAAAUAACUAAUUAUACAAUUUACUUUUAUUGUGCGAGAUGAAUAUUUUAAGUUUAAUUAGUAUAUAAUUGAACAAUAAUUACUAAAUACAAAUGAAAAAUACUAAAAUAGCCAAAUCUAAAAAGUUUUUAGAUUUUAGAAAGCCCUAAACAAGGCAUGAGAGAAAAACGAAAAGAGGAUUCAAAAGGAUCCUCAAUGUGUGUUUUCUCUUCGUUCUAAGGGUCUAUUUGACGGGGCUUCUUUCUAGCUUCAGCUGUGGCUUCUCUAAAGAAGCUCUGCUAAAUGUUUAUGUGGAGAAGCCGUUUUCUUAAAUAAAAGCAGAGAAGUCACAACCGUUUUAGCGAAGUCCUAACUCCUCUACGGGAGCCCCUCGUAAGAGGCCCUACAAACAGCCUCUAAAAUCGUACACAUAAUAUAUCAUGUAUAGAUAUAUAGAUAUAUAAGUAUAAUUCAUGUAUAAAAAAGCUAAACUGUAUUUUAAUUUUCAUUUCGCCAUAGCAGGAGAAAAAAAAAUACUAGUAUUAGUCCUUGAAAAGGCAGGGCAGGAAGAAAGAAACGGAAAAGAGUUUUUUUAAUUGUGUAAUAAAAUCCCGCAAAAAGGGUGUGACUCAUGUGAGCAAGUAAAAAGGCCCCGGAUUUCGAAAAAAAAAAGGGGGCCCAUGCCUCACACGUCUAGCAGUAGUACAUACACGGUGCUGCAGCACUCGGCGCACUAGUGGACGGAACGGCGGUGCCUGCCUCUGCUGCUGUGUCCUCUUCUCUUCUCUCUCUUCCGCGAUUCCCGAGACAAAAGCCCCUCCCCUCCCACUCCCACACCCAGUGGCAGUAGUGCAGGGCACUGGGCUGGCUGGGGCACGCAGCCUCUGCGAGGCCUCCGCCACCGCCACCACAACCACACAAUUCUUUCUCCAUCGCAGCGUCACCGUGCCUGCUCCCGUCGUCUUCCUCUUUCUCGCGUGCACGCACACAGACAAAGGCAGGGAACCAAACCAUUUCUUCCCCCAAAGCCCCAAACCAAAACCCCCCUUUUCUCUUCCCCACCCGUGACGCCGGCGGAGGCCCCGCCGGAUCGCGGCGCGCAAUGCCGUUGCCGCCGCCUCCCGCCUUCCUACCCUUCCUCCUCCUCUCCCUGCAGCUGCUGCUGCUGCUCCCGGCCGCUACCACUUCCACCACCCGAACAAAUGCCACCCUCCCGCUUCCGCCGCCUCCACCACCGCAUCCUCCCCACCGCCACCACCACACCGCGUCUCCUCGCGCCCCGCUGACGCCGCCGCCGCCGCCCAGCCUGACCCCUCCUCCGCCGCACCCUACACCCUCUCCCGUCGCCGUGCCGCCGGCUCAGGCGCCGCCCCCGACGCCACAGCCCACGCCCACGCCAGCGCCGCCGGUCACCACUUCGCCGACGCCCAAGUACCCGUCCUCCUCCGCCACUCCCUCCACCGGGGAUCCAUACCCCUUCACCAACAACCCCUUCUUCCCAACAGCCAACUCGCCGCCGCCGCCAACGCCAGCCGCCGAGACACAGCCCUCCGGUGACGGCGGCCUCCCGACGUUCCCGGCCAACAUCUCCACCCUGGUCGCCCCGACCCCGCGCGCCUCCGGCUCCCACCGCUUCCCCGUGCUCCAGGCGCUGCUCCUCUCCCUGCUCUCCCUCUGCCUCCUCCUCCUCUCCGCGCUCCUCUCCAUCCACCUCGUCCGCCGCCUCCGCCACCGCGGCGGCGGCCGCUCCGGCGCCACGGCGUCCUCCGCCUCCGCCGCCCACCGCCGCGCCGCAAGCAACCACGACGACGACGAUGACGGGGACGAGGAGGGACGCAGCCUCAAGCCGCCGCCAAUGCCCACCUCCUCCACCAACCCCAGCACCGAGUUUCUCUACCUCGGCACCCUCGCCACCCCGCCGCCGUCGGGACCGCAGCACCCCGGGACCAGCUCCAAUCUACGCCCUGGCUCGCCGGAGCUCCGCCCUCUGCCGCCGCUUCCGCGCGUCGGACCGCCGUCCGGCGAGUUCGCAUCCCGCAGCUCCGCCUCCGACCCCAGCACCGUGCCUCCCGCCGCCGCUGCCGAUGCCUCGUCCUCCUCGCUCUCUCCCUCCUCGCCGUCGGCUUCCUCACCCACGCUCGGCUCCAGCCCCGUCCAUUUCCGCCCGCCGUCCAUCCCGCAGCCGCGUGGCCGAGCUCCCAAUCCGUCGCCACCUAAACGGAGGCCGUCGCCGCCCAAGGGUGCUGCGGAGCCCGUGGCGGCGCACGCGUGGAACCCCUUCGUGCCGCAGCCGCCGCGACAGGCAGUUGCUUCGUCAGAUGAUGGUGACUCCGAUCAGAUGAUGGACCUGCGCAAAUCGCGGCCUUUGCACUCGGACAAGCUCAAGCCAGGCUCUUUGCAGUAAGACCAAAUCUUCCCGUUCCCUCCUCUUCUUCUUGCAGAUCCGAUUCGAUUUCUUGAGUUGCCUCUCUUUGCCCUGUGUGCUAUAGCAUGAAGGACGAGGUGAUUCAGCUAUACCUCAACAACUCGGCGGCCCUUGCGACACCAAGGGAGGUGUGUUUGUUUGGUGCCCUCAGGUGUCAUGGCAUCGGCAUGAUUGUGGGGGCAUUGGGAGUUUCCAAGGAGCAACUGAGGGAUGCACUCUUGGAAGGUAUAUAUAGACUGAUCUUUCCUCCUAUCAUCAGUCAACCCAGGUUGAGUUUUCUCUGAAUAAUGCUGACAAAAUUGCAAUCUUUGUUCCACGAAAGUACUCUAGUGUUUAUUACUUGUGGGGGGACCUUCAAAUUGGUGGUUGUGCCAUUGACCAUGUUUGUAGCAUCACAUGGUGCCUUGUUGAUUAUUAUGAGUUACAUGAAUGAUUGUCUCUGAUAAACGUUGGGGCCUUACCAAUGGGCCACACGUCAUAUGCCCCUCCUACUGUCAUACGUUUUGAAAAACCAGAGUUACUCAGCCCAGUUUCAUUUUAGGUGCAUUGUCUAUCUAUUUCCUAGAAAGAGAUCGCAUUUAGGGUACCAUUGGAGCGUUUUGUUGUCCAUGUGUUUAGCAUCUUCAUGGGACAAAGUUGUCUUUUCAAGGGUGCACCACUCUUCGUUUUGCAUGUCAUAGCAAAUCUGUUUUGGUUCCGUGUAGUUGAUCAAUUACAACUUUCUCCAAUCCGUCAUGCUAUGCCUUUAUGUGGUACCGUAUAUUCUAUCGCUACUAACUGUAGCAUAUUUCUGGUUGCUGGGUACAGGUAAUGCACAUGGUUUGGGAGUGGAAGCCUUGCGGAUGCUCACUCAGAUGGUGCUCAGCAACGAAGAAGAGCUUAACCUCAAAUAUUUCAAGGACGAUUCCCUGACCAGACUUUGCCCAGUCGAUGCUUUUUUGAAGGCAAUGCUGGAUGUUCCGUUUGCGUUCAAGCGAGUGGAUGCCAUGCUUUACAUUGCCAGUUUCUAUUUGGAGAUCAAUCAACUGAGAAUGUCUUAUGCUAUUCUUGAGGUAAUGCCGUGUUCUUGAGAGAAAUACAACACAAGACAUAGAUUGCUUCUGCUGAAAUGAUGUCACUUAUUAGUGAUUUUACCUUCUUUCGACUAUCAUGUGUUCAUAUCUGAAUGUUUAAUCCGUUUUAUUUAUUUAUUCAUCUAGGGGGCUUGCCAGGAGAUGAGAAACAGCAGGCUGUUCCACAAAGUCCUUGAGGCAGUUGUGAAUUUCGGCAAUUUCAUGAACACCAAUUCGGGGUCUCCAUGUUCAAAAGGCUUGGAGCCAAACACUGUUCUGAAGAUAGCUGAUGUGAAAGGAGCUGAUGGGAAGGCUGCUCUCAUGCAGUUUCUUGUCCAGGAAAUUGUGAAACCUGAAGGAUACAAUGUGAUGGAGGAUGGUUCAGGUACAUGCAAGAUGAAUGCAAGCAUUCUGCAGUAUGAUGCCGAAUGCAGGAAGCACGGCCUUGAGAUUGUCACCAAACUUGCAGCUGAGCUGAGCAACACGAAGAAAGCCACGUCCAUUGACAUAACAAGGCUGAGCCGAAGCGUGUCGGAGCUUGGAAUGGGGCUUGGGAAGGUCCAUGACGUGGUGAGGCUGAACAGCAUGGUUACCUCUGCUGAUAGCGCUCGGCGUUUCCACAAUACCAUGAGCACAUUCCUGAGGCAUGCCGAGGAGGAGAUCCUGAAGCUCCAGUCUCAGGAGAGCAUCUGCUUGUCGUCAGUGAAGGAGAUGGCAGAGUGGUUCAUUGGCGUGGAGUCAGGUAACGAUGAAGCUCACAUGUUCAGAAUUUUCGCUGGAGUGAGGGAGUUCCUAGCUAUGCUCGACCGGAUCUGCAAGGAGGCUGGGGAGGUGAACAGCAACAACUGGGUCGGCGCGACAACGGCGAGCUGGAUGGCUGCGCCCAUGGGGAUGACGCCUUAAGCUGCAGGAGCUGCCUUGGCAAAAUCUGUAGCUGUCCUUUUUGUAGAAUAUCAUAUCCAAUCGAGCUAUUUGGACAAGUAUGGUUCCUAGUAUUAGCAGUAGAUGAGAACAAUGUUAUGCUAUGUUAAGCCUAUGCCUCUCUCUAUAUAAAUAUCUUGAUAAUGUAUGCUGGACACCCUGGCUAUUGUAAAGUUUACUGUUACUGGUAAUGAUGUUGUUGGUUUGCCGUCUUCCCCUGAAUGGUGCUGCUGUCUUCCUGUCAAUGGAGCAGCCUGCUACUCCAACUCCAUUGGUGAUGGCCCUGCUUCUGAAUUCUGAUAGUUUGGGCUCAUGGAUGUCUCGGUCAGAAUUUUGUGUGAUGAUGACAUGGUCCAUUAUUUGGUUGUUUAGGCAAUAGACGAACAACUUUUUUUUUUCUGUUUUUUUUUGUUCAUUUUUUUGUGACGUGCUUUUGAUCUGCAACAGCAAGUUGGUUUGUAUCGGUGCCAGAUUUACAAGUCAGAUUCUGAAGUCCUGAAGUCGUCUUCCUCCUUCGCCUCCAAGCAAGCAGCCAAAGUAGUCGCCGGCAGUGGCCCCCCGCUCCCCCGCAGUGGCUGAGACACAGAGAGAGUUCUGCAGAGACUAGCGACGAUGGCGCCACCAUGCCCCGAACCCUAACCCCACUCCACCACCAGCCAUGGGAUCCCAGCCGCCGGCCUCCCGCGUGGCCCUGGAGCCCCUCGCCACGCUCGACCCCGCCGCGCUCGCCGGCCUCCCCGUCUCCUCCCCGCUCACCGUCCGCUCCGCCGCGCUCUCCGGCCACCUGCUCUACCUCGGCACCGGCGGCGGCAAGCUGCUCCUCUUCUCGCUCCAGGAUCCCUCCUCCCCCGAGUUCCUCCGCCUCCUCCCCAUCGGGGCCACCCUCCCCGUCUCCGCCAUCGUCCCGCUCCCCUCCGUCGCCCGCCUCCUCGUACUCGCCGACGGGCUCCUCCUACUCGCCGACCCGCUCCUCUCCCGUCCCGUCCGCCGCCUCGGCUCCCUGCGCAACGUCGCGGCCGUCGCCGCCCGCCGCGUCGACCCCGCCGACCCAUCAUCAUGCUCCGUCGCCAUCUCCGUCGGGAAGAAGCUGCUCCGGGUCGACCUGACGCUGCACGACGCCGACGAGCUGGAUGUGCAGACGCGCGAGAUCACCUCUGUCGAGGGGGUCAAGGCGCUCGCUUGGGUCGACGACUCUGUCUUCGUUGCCACCGCCACUGGGUACUCCCUCUACUCGAGCACCACUGGCCAGGGUGUGGACAUAUUCUCCCUACCAGAAUCCUCCGGUCACCCAAGGGUGAAGCCGCUCUCUGGAGGUGACGAGGUGAUGCUCCUGGUCGACAAUGUCGGUGUCGUGGUCGACAGAUUUGGUCAGCCGGUUGGAAGCAGCUUGGUGUUCAGCACCAUGCCCGACUGCAUAGCUGAGGUGUUCCCCUAUGUGAUUGUUGCUGGGGACUCCAAGGUGGAUGUGUACAGGAGGAGAAACGCUGCACACCUACAGACUAUUCCGGUUGCAAGGACUGGUCAAGGCAUUUUGAUUGUGGUUAGUGAUGAUGAUGGGAUCGGCACGGAGCUAGUUGUGAUUGCUACGACUUAUAAGGUAACGUAGGUACGUCAACUCAUCCGUUAUUCAUUUGAACUUCUGUAUCCACAUACUAUUAGUGUAUUUUCAAUUAGUGUUAUGCGGUGCCACAACUGUUGGAAAGAAAAUAACUUUACAUUACAUUGCAUCCUAAAUAGAUGUAGUCUCCCAAGCACACAGGACUAGAUGAGCAGGAAAGACUGCCUAUAUGAAUUUGGCAUGGGUUGAUAGCUAAAGGGUGUACACAACUGUGGUUGGCCUUUGGUUUUACUUUCACAAGGACGGACAGUAGGUUACCUUGUAGAAUCAUAAUGUUUGUAUAUAUAUACUAGUUAUAAGUUGCAUAAAUAAGGUUAGCCUUUUACAUUCCCUGUACAAUUUUAGUACCAUAUGUAUAGUUAUCUAAGAUUCUAAUGUAAAGGAAAGGCUAAUAGUACUAUAGUAGUCGAAACUGAGAAUGUUUAGUCUGGCUCUAAUUUACGCAGAUUAUACUUAUGUUACACUGAUAUAGGAAUCAAUUGGCUUAUCCAGGUUUUUUGCUACCGUAAAGUAUCUGCAGUGGAGCAGAUUAAGGCAUCUUUACGAAGAAAGAACUACAAGGAAGCUAUUUCUUUAUUAGAAGAGUUUGAGUCAGAUGGUGAAAUUUCAAAGGAAAUGAUCUCCUUUGUCCAGGCACAACUUGGAUUUUUGUUGUUUUUUGACUUGCGUUUCGAGGAUGCUGUAAAUCAUUUCUUGUUAUCGGAGACUAUGCAGCCAUCAGAAGUAUUUCCAUUCAUUAUGCGGGAUCCCAACCGUUGGUCAGAUCUGGUAUGCUACAUUGCCACUUGGUAGCUGGGAUGUAUAUGAGAUAAAAACUGUUUUAGUUCCGUUUCUAAAUUAGUUGUGUACAUCACAGUUUGUGUUCCACAAGUAGUUUCUUGUCACGUUGUCUUAACCUAUUUCUUUUCAUGAUGAAAGUUCACUCUUAAUGCUUACAUUGAGCUCUUAAAAUGAUCCAAUAAAUCUGAAUCAACUAUUAAAAUCUCUAGAUGAACCAGCUUGACCCUAUUUUAGCACAAUAGUCAUAGAUAGGAACUUGUUGAGCCUUACUGAGUUAGAGUAUUUAUGAUUCCUCAACUCAUUCGUUCAGUUUAUGACGAGUCAGUUUUUCCUUCAUGGCUCUUUUGGCACUUAAGACUGAUUAUUAUUGUACCCUAUGUCCGUACCUACUGAUUAUAAGCUACAGAGAAACCAAACAAUCUUUCAUACAUUUAGCUACUUGUUUCUAAUAGUAACCAUUAACAAUUAUAUCCAUUAGGUGCCAAGAAAGCGGUAUUGGGGUUUGCAUCCACCCCCUAAGCCCCUUGAAGAAGUUAUUGAUGAUGGUCUGGUAGCUGUUCAACAGGCAUUGUUUCUGAAAAAGGCAGGUGUGGAUACAGUUGUGGAUGAAGAUUUCCUUUCAAAUCCACCAAGUAGAGCUGAUCUUUUGGAACUAGCAAUCAGAAAUAUUAUCAGGUAUGGUAUACACACGGGUUAUAUUCAUUGUAAUCACUGGGAAGCCACGUCUAUCCUCAACUAUCUUAAUGCUGAAUGAAUCUAGGUACCUUUGUGCAUCGCGGAUGAAGAAUUUAUCUUCUCCAGAGAUGGAAGGAGUUGAUACUCUUCUAAUGUAUCUUUAUAGAGCACUUCAUCUUGUUGAUGACAUGGAGAAGCUUGCAUCAUCUCAGAAUAGCUGUAUCGUGGUAUGUACAUGCCCUUUAGUUUAGACAUCUGCAUCCGAUUUUCUUUUGUAUGUUAAAGUAUUGAAUUGACAGAGCACAAUGGUCCCCUCCUAAUGUUUCAUCACAUUUGAAUGAACACUAAGAAAGCUGCUUGGUUCAUGGUGCAGGAUGAACUAGAAUCCCUUUUGGAUGACUCUGGACAUUUACGGACACUUGCUUUCUUGUAUGGCAGUAAAGGAAUGUGCUCCAAAGCUCUUUCUAUAUGGCGUAUACUGGCAAGGAAUUAUAGCACAGGUUUGUGGAAAGAUCUGUCUGAGAAUGGAUCCUGUGGAACUUUGGUUGGCAAAAGGUCUGGCGAGGAAAUUGCCGCUAUAGAAGCAGCCAAGAUCCUCAAAGAAUUGUCUGAUGAGGACCUUGUUCUGGAACAUCUUGGAUGGGUAUGCAUUUCAGGUUAAGAACUUGUUUAUCUUAUAACAAGUGUUUUAUUACUGAAUUUUAUUUGCAGGUGGCAGACAUUGAUCAAGAUCUAGCGAUUGCAGUUUUAACAUCUGAGACGAGGGAAAAUCAACUCUCACCAGGUAAUUGAUAUGUUCUGGAUAGACCAAUGUAUCAGUGUGCUUUUACUACAUAAUCAUGGCCAGACACAUUUUCUAGUUUCUGCGCAUGUGUCUCAGAGAAUGACAUAGGAACAGAGGGGUAGACUUUUAGAUAAAUUUUCAUGGUUAUAGCUGACCGUGUGACAUUUAGGAAUGUUUUUUUAGUAAUUGGGGUUUAGGUGUCUUAAAAGGCUAUUCUUUCUAUUCUUUUAAUAAAGUUCACUAUCAUUUAUUUGAAUAAUGCUAUUUUGCAGAAAAGGUUGUCGCUGCUGUUGAUGCAGAAAAGGUUGUGAUCCAUCAAAGGUAUAGAUGAUUAUCCAUUAACUUUUCAAUAAGUUCAGAUCUCUUAAUUCAACAAUCCAAAUAGAAUAUUUUAGUUUCAUAUGAGUGACAAAAUGUGAGUGAAGAAAAUAUGUGUGACAAAAGUAGUAGGAUUACUCCAUGGACAUAUUUGUAUGGUAGCUUGUUAGUAUAUGUUUUUACAAAUGGGCUAAAUAUGCAACAUCCUUAUAAUCAACUUUUAGUGGCAAGUGUUUUACAUGAUUUGAUUUUGCCCCUUGCUUUCAGUGAGGUGAUAGAAUCAUUAUGCAAAUAGUGUUAUUCCUUUACAUGUUCUUUAGAACUGUUUGUCUAUGUCUUCUCCUGCAUCUUUUGUCUCUUUGGCCACCUUCAUUUGUCAUUCAUCAGCAGAGAAUGCUUUGUGGCAGUGUUUAUUUUCUUAUUAUCCUUCUGUUAUAAAAAGUCUGAACCAGCCAAGUUGUACAGAUAUCUGCAGUGGUUGAUUGAAGAUCAGGGCUGCGAUGACCCUCACUAUCACACAUCAUAUGCUCUAUCACUGGCUAAAUCUGCGAUUGAAGCUUUUGAUAUGGAGUCUAAAUAUAGAGGGAAAGACAAUAGUGAAAUUGAUUCUGAUGCACAGUUUGUUUAUUUAUUAAGAGAGAGCUUGCAAUUGUUUCUGCAAGCUUCAGACCUGUAUGAUCCAGAAGAUGUGCUCGAUGUGAUAGCAGAAUCUGAGCUAUGGCUGGAAAAGGUGAUGUUAUGAUUUGUCUUCUUCCUGGCACUUCCAUGCUUGCCUGAUCAUGCUCAUGAUUAAUAGUACUGAUACUCUAGACUUUCCCUUGUCAGGCAAUACUGUAUAGGAAAAUGGGCCAAGAGAAUAUUGUACUUCAGAUACUAGCAUUGUAAGAUUCUAUGCUCUUGGGUUUGCUUUACUAUAUGUUGCUUUCCUUACAUAUUGGUUUGUUGUAGCCUGUAAAUUGCUCUAUUGAAAUGUCUGCUGCUUGUUAUGUUAUGAAGGAAGCUGGAGGAUAGUGAAGCCGCUGAGCAGUAUUGUGCUGAGAUUGGUCGAGAUGAUGCCUAUAUUCAGUAUGUUUUUUUUUUCACAUCAGUAUUUCUAAAUUAAUUAACUUAUUUUUUUCUUCGCCUUUUUGAACAAUAUGAAAUAAUCCCUGGUGUUCCUGCUGCCCUUUUUUCAAACUCAGGCUUUUGGGUUUGUAUUUGGAUCCUCAAAACGGGAAGGAGCCUAUGUUUACAGCAGCUGUACGACUUCUUCAUAAUCAUGGUGAAUCUUUGGACCCCAUACAAGUAUUGGAGGUAUUACUUUAUUGUUGCUUCAAUACUCACAGAUUCUUUUGAGAAUCUUGUAGCUUGCAUAUGCUAGUUUGCAAGAUGUUGGUGUUCUGGCCUUCAGUAUUUUAGGAUGGCAUAUCAGUCAUGUGAGGACUGUGGAGAGAAUGGAUAUCGUGAAGGUAGUUGUUAGCUCUGGAAAUGUGGUGUUCUGUUGAAAAAUGAGCAGUUUUUGAUCAAUAAAAAAAAACAGGCCAUGGAUACAGUUGUUUCCCCCUUCACAAAAGGAUUUUGGCUAAUAUCUGAAAAUUUUAUUGACCUGUUGGUCGUUAACAUUCCAGUAUAAACGAUCACUAUCCUUCAAACAUGGCUGUCUAGUUUUCUAUGAAGCAAACUUGCCAUCUACAAGGCGAUUAGAGUAAAGGUAAUAAGAUGAUCCAUAAUCUCCUAGUACUGCUAUUGGAAAAGAACAGAUAUGCAAAGCUGACGUCCAGCCAUUUUUCUUGUAUUACUGUUGCACACGAUCCUAGGAAAUGUGAGAAGUCUCAAAAAAGGUUACUGAAUAGUUGAUACUUAAGUACAAGGCACUCAUUGCAUCAUUGAGUCACAAUUGGUACAUGUUGUAAUAGCUGCAGUACUGCCAUGUGCAUCUUUGUCCUUGUGUUGUGCCAUACACUAGUUUCUGGGAAAAAAAAUCCUAAAACAUAAUCUUGUGCCAGAGAUUAUCUCCUGAUAUGCCUCUUCAGCUGGCAUCAGAUACAAUUUUACGGAUGCUGAGGGCCCGAGUGCACCAUCAUCGUCAAGGGCAGGUGAACAUAAUUCUUUUCUGUUUUCUUAGGUGGAGUUUUCUGUAUUGAACAGUUGAACGGCCCUGUGGGUCAUUGCCUAGUUGAACUGAGUUUGUUUCGGGUUAAACUUAUGAGAGAUGUGUCUUUCUUACCAGUCAAAUUUCUUUGCUCUUUUGUUCUCCUUUGCAUGUUUUAGAUAGUCCACAAUUUAUCACGGGCGACAAACCUAGACGUACGGUUGACAAGACUGGAGGAGAGAUCGAGGCACGUGCAGCUAACCGAUGAGAGUAUCUGUGACUCCUGUCGAGCUCGCCUCGGCACCAAGCUGUUUGCAAUGUACCCAGAUGACUCCGUUGUUUGCUACAGGGUAUGCCUACUUAGGUGUUUUGUGUUUCCUGCUGAUAGCAGUACCUGGUUUGCAUGGAGGUUUCAGGUUUCUUUGUGUGUAACAAUAACUUGGUUUUGCAGUGCUAUCGAUCCCAGCAAGGUGAUUCCUCAUCAGGGCGUGGCCGUAGCUUGAGGAAAGAUGUUAUAUUCAAACAGAGCUGGCUUGUCAGUAGAUAGAUAGCGAGGAAGGAACCAAGAGUGGUGACCUUGAUUGAGGCCAGCAUUCGGCUGUGGCUGCUCGGAAAUGGGCACUAAGUUUUUUGUGUCUGGAUGGGCUCACUCUGGAAACUUGACCAGGGCGUUGUGUAUUUUUUUGCUUAGGCCAAUGGAUGAAUAUACACAAAUACAGGCAUACCGCAAACAGGGGGAGGAUGUGUAGUCUGUUCUAGUAGCUGUAGUACAUUUUUCUGUAGAGACAAAUGAUACUAUAUAACACGCUGAUACGAGAUUUGGUAGCUGGAAAUUGCAGAUGACAAUUUUGUUUGUCCUCAGUCCUCACCAGUAGCUCAGAAAUGCAAAUGCCCCACCCACUAGAUCGCAGUGCUGGGGGUGUGUGAAACACGUUUUCGUGGAGACUGAAACGAAUGGGGGUGGUCGUGAAAGUUGAUAGAUAGACGGAGACACCAAUAAUCUGUUUGGAAAGCUGGGUCUUACGUAACUUGCCUGUAUCAUUAUUACAGGAUGUCGUAGCUCUAUGUAAACUGCAACAACUCACAACCUAAAUACCUAAUAGCCAUCAUUCUCUGAGCAUAAUCACAUAAAUUACAUCAUUGUAUUAAACCAGUGGCAAAGUCAGGAUUUUGCACCAAGGUAAUCCUUGUAAAUAAAUUGAGCCACACAAAUAUACAAUUAAUAAUAGGACCAAAGUGCAACUAUGACAUAAUUGGACAUAAAUCCAUGGUAAUGAUCUGAGUAAUACAAACUGUUGACAUAGUGGCAUUAUGGCACCAUCUCUUAACAGUUUAGAAACUCUACAAAAGCAUUUGUGGCCGCCGCCCUUAUGGGCCUAUUUGGUAGGGAUUUUCAUAGCUUCACAAUGUUGUUUUUAGCUUCUACCAACCAGGCUAUUUUUCAGCUUCCCUCACAUCUACAGUUCUUCGAGUGAAGCUGAAAGUACUAGCUUCUCUUAACUUUCUCUUUGUUAUCUUCUCUGAGAAGCUAUUUUACCAAAUAUUUUUCUAAAAUAGCUUUUACUUCACUGGUGAAGCUACUUUAUGGAACUGAAGCUACAAAAGAUGCUUCACUAGUGAAUCUGAGCUAUACCAAACAUGUCCUAUAUUAAGUAAAGGUUCCAAUAUAUUAGGCUAAGCCACUUUUCAUUUCCUGGGGCCGAUUUGGUGCCAAACCACCACAUGUCCGCCCAAUUAGACUGGCCACCUCACCUUGCUAUACAUUAGCAUGAUCACAUUGCUGUUUUGGCACCAUUGACAGCUAAAAAACACUCUUAUCCCUUGUGGUUCGACAUCACAUACCUUUCGCGUGCGUGUAGAACCGUGGGCAAAUUCGACUGUACUUGUCUCGUGUGCAUGGUUAACUUUGUAACCCUUCGCCCCCAUUGCAUCUAGCCAGUGGGGUCUAUCAUUAUGUCUCUAGUCUGCCUCCAACACUAAUCACUCUCUUACCUUAGUUGCCUUGCCAUGAGCUUCUUGUUCGCCACACCAUGUAUUGCCACUAUCUACCGCCAUCCACUUAGUCGAAGUUGUUGCCACCUAUCACUCUAGGUAGCACUCAAGCCCUUACACACUAGUGAGUUUGUUUCUUCCUCUCCAUGAAAGUGCAAAGGACACCCUAUCCUGAUACUGCUAACACAGGACCCCUUCUCAUGCAAUCCACCAUAGCGGUGCGGUGAGCCUCACCUCCAUCCCCUUUUCUCCUCAUGAUCCUGUCCGUCACAACCAGGGACAACAUGGACAUUGCCAUUGUAUUGCCUCAACACUUCGAUGCAUGUCAAAGUUGAUUAGCAAAAUUCACUUCCGCAUCACCUAGAAGGUUUAUGAUAAAACCUUGCCAUGAAUUGUAUCAAAGAUCCUAGGGGGUUGGUGGUGGUUAGGCUAUUCCUUGGGUCGAUGCAAUUGCCAUGGGACAUGGUAAGACUGGUAGUCACCCCAAUACAACCACAAUAAGUGGUGUUAGUACUCUAAACCCCUAAGUCCGGCUGGUCAUGGUCCUUUGUUGAUCUAACCGACCCUUCCUUAGGUUAGUCUAAUCGCCAACCCUUGAUUACACAAUGUUGCCUUAAAGUUGAUGUAGGUGACCAAAGGGCCAUUUUGGUUACUUCUCAUUCUACAUGAUCAAUGGAGUUAUGGACGAGGAGUGGAACCGAUUCUAUAUAGUUUGCUUAUGUACUCUGAUGCUAUGAGAGAGCGCUGAAAUCUUAGCACUAAGAAAUCGAUGAAAUGAGAUGUAAAAUUGGAUAUGGUUUUGUGAAACUUGAAUGUUCAUGCAUGUGUUGCGACGAUCGUGUAUGGUAUAUAUGUAUAAAACAUGGUUUAUUGUGAUGUCCUUGUGCUUGUGAGGUGUUCUUAAUUUGUUGAUCUCGGGCAGGUAUGGAUUGAGACACAUGAAUAUUGGGGAUAGUUUUGCUUAAAUCAGGUGGAUCAAUGGAAUAAACCUCAGUCGAUUUAUUAGUAUGAAUGAUAUAUAAUUUACGCGGUUUCUCACAUAAGCCGUAAGAGACUUGUCAAAUGGAGAUUGAACUUAUUUCUAGACUUUGCAAGAAGAAACAAAUAUCUAAGCACUAGACACACACUAGUUCAUUUGAUGGAUGCGAUGAUCAUGCAUCAAUGAAGUGGAUAUUAUUGGAGAAGGAAGGAAGGCUCCUGACCUGACCUGACGCCUACCUCGGAAAAGAGAUCGAAGCCGUACAUGAUGAAUGGAGCAAUUGGCCCGUCAGUGUCUCAUGUCCAUACAUCAACGGAAAGGCCAGAUUAAAGCGAGGGAAGCAGCAGGAGAUGGAGCAGAGGCAUGCGAGAACCCACUAGCUCAUCGUUAGCUAGCUAAUUGCCUAUUAUAUUAGUGCUGAUCCAUGCAUCAACCAUGUCAUACGUCAUAAGUUAGGUUACACUACUGUAUGUAAUACACUCCUUUCUUGCUAGCUAGCCCUAGCUACUAGCUGCUAGUCAUCCUUGGUUAGCAUGAAGGAAAUAUCUGAUAGAUGAUGAUGCAGCAGCAUGAGCAAUGUAAUAAUGUGCAUGCACAAGUGACCGUCGCUGCCUGCCCAUCAGCAGGUCGGCCCAUGACACAUCUCAUCAAUUAAUUCGAUCUCUCGCACGAGCUGAUGAGGUGCAGUACGUGGUGCUUGCAAUGCAUAUACAUACAUGAUCCAUCGAUCGAUGUGCAUGUCUGCAUCCCUGUCCUCCACUGCGACUGCACUUUUGCAAUGUUUAAUUCCAGUGGAGCCUUUGCUUUGCUAGUGCAGGUGCUCCCAACUCGCACUUUUGCAAGCCUAUAAAUAUAUGCAUGAUGCAUGGCGAUGCCAGGCAACCAGCGAUACCACCUCAUCAGUCAUCACUCUCACACUGCAGCUUAGCUAGCUUAGCUGCUGAUCACAACAAGCAAAGCAUAUAGUAGCUAGCUAGGUGAUCGAUCGUCGACGAUGGCCGCCGCCGCCUCCUCCUCCUCACAGCAGCAAAUCCGUCCACUGGUGGGCGCCGCCGCGUUUCUUGCUGUGUGGUGCCUCGUCGUCGGCACGGCCAGGUCGUCGUCGUCGAUGCAGAUGCAGUGCCACGAGGAGGACCAGGAGGCGCUGCUGGCGGUGAACUCGGCGCUGGGCAGCCCGUACCACUUCGCGUCGUGGACGCCCGACACCUUCUGCUGCGACUGGUACGACGUGGACUGCGACAACACCACGGGCCGCGUCGUCGGCCUCACCGUCCUCGGCGACGGCAACCUCACGGGCGCCAUCCCGGACGCCAUCGCCAACCUCACCAACCUCCGCACGCUGGUCCUCCGCCACCUCCCGGGCCUCACGGGCAACAUCCCGGACUCGCUCGCGCUGCUCUCCAACCUCUCCCAGCUCACCAUCUCCUCCACGGGCGUCUCCGGCCCCGUCCCGGAGUUCCUCUCCCAGCUCACGGAGCUCACCAUGCUCGACCUCUCCUUCAACUCUUUCGAGGGCACCAUCCCGGCGUCGCUCGCCGACCUGCCCAGCCUCUCCACCAUCGACCUCAGCCGCAACCGCCUCUCGGGCCCCGUCCCGUCGCUGCUCCUCACCAAGUGCUGCACCGACGAUCAGCAGGCGGCGUACCUCCGGCUGUCGCACAACAACUUCUCCGGCGCCAUCCCCGCCGGGUUCGCCGCCGUCAGCUUCGCGCAUCUGGACCUGUCGCGCAACGCCUUCACCGGCGACGCGUCGGGAGUGCUGGGCAAGGGGAAGCCGCUGCAGCACCUGGACCUGUCCCGCAACGGCUUCGCCUUCAGCCUCACGGCGGUGGAGCUGCCGGAGCAGCUGAGCUACAUGGACCUGAGCCACAACGCCAUCCGGGGACGCAUCCCGGCGCAGGUGGCGGACCUCGCCGGGCUGCAGCUCUUCAACGUCAGCUACAACAAGAUGUGCGGCGUGGUGCCGACGGGAGGGAACAUGGACAAGUUCGACGCCUACAGCUACCAGCACAACAAGUGCCUCUGCGGCACGCCGCUGCCGUCCUGCGGACACCGUAAUUUCUAGCUAGUUUCAUUUCAUUUCCAGCAUAUAUAUUAUUCACACAUAUAUAUAUAUAUAUAUAUAUAUAUAUAUAUAUAUAUAUAUAUAUAUAUAUAUAUAUAUAUAUAUAUAUACUGCUAGCUGGGGAUCGAUGCAUGGAUGGACGUACGAUGCAUGGAUCAAUCCAUGCAUUGAUCGAUCGAUGAUCGAUAUAGGAGGAAGCAGAUUCCUAAUUAAAAAGCAAAGCUCACACAUAUAUAAGAAGAAGAGUAGUGAAAUAAUAUAUAUGCAUGUAAUAAUCUAAUCCCGGAAUCAAACUUAUGGUAAUAAGGUUAGUCCAUGCAUAUGCAUCAUCAAUCCCAGGAUGUGGAUCGAGAGGCAACUACAAAAAUCUGUACUCUCUCUCUAUAUAUACUAGCUAGUGUAAUGGUUGUGUGCUUGGGUUUGUGUGUGUACCUAUCUAGGUAGAGACAGCUUAAUAAGCUGAAUGCAUAAUGUACUAUAUGAGUCUGUCCUUUGAGAAGUACCAACAAUAGUAAUAUUAAUUGCAAUGCUACCCAAUGCUUUAAUUUCGAUUAUCAGCGGUGAUUGGCAUAAAAUGUUUCCAUUAAUUUAUGAUUGCUAGCUGAUGUCAUAGCACAAAAACUGAUGAUGUUCAUGUGGAUCUAAACCAUCCGUAUCCAUCGAUAUGUAAAUCGGAAGAUGCAUUUCAAUGUGUUGGCUCCCCUGCUUUGUGAGCAUAUAUAUUCCGUCGAUGCUCGACCAGCUCUCACCACCAGCCAUAAGAUCGACACCAGAGGGCUGAGAUUGAGCCACGUAACCUCAGCCCACAAGCCCUCCGAUGACGUGGCUACAUACCUUGUUGACUUCUCAACCCUCCAGUGCUGAUCUGACGACAGACUAUGAGCAACGCCAUAGCUAGGGUGAACAUCUGCCACUGGCGGAGCCUCCUCCUGGAGCUGAACCUAGGAUAUAUAUAUAUAUAUAUAUAUAUAUAUAUAUAUAUCGUACGUGUAGUUACUCUUAUUAUCUUCAAAAGCUACAUUGUGUAUGUAUUCAUACUUGUUUAUCAGUUUGAGUAUGUUUAUAUACUCAUAUUAAGAUACUCUAGAUCUUACCACGCGAAAAUUUUUCAAAAAAAAUUAUAUUUUAAAUAUAUUACUAAAAUGCCACUACUAUAUUAUAUACAAUAAGUAUAACCAUAUACUCGAUGUAUGUAUGCAUACUUAACAUACAUAUCACUCUAGAUGGUCUAGUAUUAUCAUAUACUUUGUCUAUAUACAUUUCGUUCGGUCAUAUACACCUUAAAUCUAGAGAUAUAUAGAUGAGAGUAACUACACGCGUGUGUAAAAGAAAAGCCUAGACUAUAUAUAGAGAACCAAAAAAAAAGAUACGAGAGCCUAACACAACAUCAUACUAUAUUGUUACUACCUGUUAUAAUUGUCAUUGAAUUUUUCUUAGCCCUCCCUUGUUUUAUGUCCACGCUCCGCCACUGCAUCUCCUGUAUAUAUAUGCUCAUAAAAUCCACUCUCAGCAGUUUAACUCCAAUCCUUUUUUUCUUUGCUUUCCAAAUAUACUCAUCAAAAUUUAGAGGUUCUAGCUCCGUGUCAACAACCUUUGUGCCAUGGAAUAAAUGAGAUCAACAUUUUGGCCAAGGUUUUGUAAAAUGCUUUGGUUUUGACUUUUGAGGGAAAAAAACAAGGUCUAUAUGUUUGCAUUAUCGGACGCAACAAAUCUUGUAGUUUUUAAAAACUAUGAUCGCUAAAACUCUAGUCUUCAAUGUUUCUUUGCUGCUACGAUCGAACCUUCUCAACUGCAGCUAGCUAUCUUCCCACCCACCCCCACCCCCCCUCCUUUUUUGCAUCUACAACCCCCUUUGCAUUGUUUGGAAAGAACUGUAUUCUUGUCUUGUGUCGAAUCGGCUUUUGUUCGUGCUGAAUUAGCACCUUCUUGUCUUGCAAAUCCAUAAUGUUUUUUUGGGAAAGUCUGCUUGCCAAUUUGCAUGUCAACAACAUGAGAGUGAGUCAUGUGGUGCCUGAGCCCCGAGCCAAGAGUGGAGGAGCCCAAGGGCAGACACGGCAAGAUUUAUGCCGGCCCAAUUUUGAUCUACCAUAUAUGAACGGGCUGUCGUCCAUUUGACCACUUUUUUGUUUGCUCGUAUAGAUAGCAGUAUAGAUGGCCAACCGCCGCUCAACACGGCACGGCACGGCCGGCACGGGCACUAUGCGGCACGGCGACCCAUCGUGCCGUGCCUAAUAAUGCCAGUGUGCCGAAGUGGCAGCCCAUGCACGGUCCUAUCAGGGCCGGAGCGUGCCGUGCCAUCAGGCACUAAGCCAUCUUCAGCCAUGUUGUCGUCGUCAGAGUUUCCUUGGAGGUCGCAGAUCCUCUCCAUCUCUUCUUCCAUGGCCGUGGCACUAGCCUCCGCCGUGUCUUCGAAGACAGAGGGCGGAGGCCGGGGCAACACCCUCGCUUCAGCUUGACCUAGCCUCAAUCGGCUUCCAAAAGAAGAGCAACAUCAACAAAGAACUAGAUAUUGAAGAAGAUGAGUCAACAACAGAGAAAAUUGGAGCUAGGGUUUCGUACCUAGACAGCGCCGGUGACGUAGACGGAGCUAUGGCCAGCACCACCAGAUCAGCAGAUCUGAAAAAAAUGGCGACAGCGAGUCAGAGAAGAAGAAGAAGAGCUUACAGAAGAAGAGUCAUGGCUGACGGCAAGUUAAGUUUCUAACCUUGUUCAUCGAAGCUCCUGAGCAUCUGGUGGAUGAGAAGAAAAGGUGGGGCCAGCGGCAAGCCGCCGUCGCCCGCCCCCGUUGGAGGCGUCGUCGCCCUUCGCCACCAUCGUCGGAGCAGGAGGCAGAGAGGAGAGGAGUGAGCGGCUGCGGCUUGGGCGCUGAGCGAAGCGGCUGCAGGAGCAGGGGGAAAUAAUUUAGGGUUCAAGGUCGGGGGGGGGGGGGGGAUGCCGGCGGGCUUAUAUACAGCAAGAUACAACGGUUAUAUCCAAUGGCUCUUAUCACCCCGAACCCUAGAUCGGACGACUGCCAUCCCCAUGUAGAUAGCGGGCCAGGCCGUUUUGCCGUGCCGUGCCCGUGCUGGCACUUGGACCGGAAUGGCAGUCUAGGCACGAGCACUGUGGCGGGCCGUGCUUUUUUAGGUCGUGCUCAGACCGACCCACCGUGCUCGGCCUAGUUGGAAAUCUAAGAUAGCAACUAGAUAAUCCAUCUCCACUCCAGAGACAGUGGUCAGCACAAGCAUGCAUGCUGCUCCUAGCUAGUCCUAUCAAGUCAGACCCAGGUCGCUUCCAUGACCAGGACAGGAGUGGCAUGUCCUGCCUGCUCCUGCUAAAGUGCCAAACGCGCCGGCGGCUAUCUUCUUGUCGAUGCUCAUAUCCAUCAGUUUCACAGUUGGCACUUGCCAGCAAGUCGAUCUCUGUACAUUGCAUUGCAUUGCUUGGCAAAGCUAGCUAGCCCAACAACAGGUAAUAUAUAUACAUGGUCCAUAGCCAGCUGCAGGCUGCAGCGACCCCGUGGCUCGUGCGCGUCCAAGAACCAAGAUGAAGACGACGGCGCCGAUGCGCAAGUACUCCCUCGUCGUCGUCCUCCUCGCUGCAGCUGCGGCUUCGGCUUCGGCUUCGGCUGCCGCCGCCUCCUCAAGCAAGGCGGACCGCUGCCAUUCCGACGACAAGAGAGCGCUGCUGGCUAUCAAGGCGGCGCUCGGCAACCCGUAUCACUUUGCGUCGUGGACACCCGACAACCCCUGCUGCGACUGGUACGACGUCGAUUUCGACGCCACCAACGGCCGCGUCGUCGGCCUCUCCAUCUUCCAGGACGCCAACCUCACGGGCACCAUCCCCGACGCCAUCGCCGGCCUCGUCCACCUCCGGAACCUCAUGCUGCACCACCUCCCGGGCAUCUCCGGCCCCAUCCCGCCCGCCAUCGCCACGCUCUCCAACCUCUCCACGCUCACCAUCUCCUACACCGGCGUGUCCGGCCCCGUGCCAUCGUUCCUGGGCAAGCUCACUGCGCUCACCUUGCUGGAUCUGCCAUUCAACUCCCUCACGGGCGCCAUCCCGCCGUCGCUCGCCGCCCUCCCGUACCUCUCCGGGAUCGACCUCAGCCGCAACCGCCUCACCGGCGCCAUCCCUCCGCUGCUCCUCAGCAGGUCCCCCGACCAGGCCUACCUCGUGCUGUCGCACAACAACCUGUCCGGCGCCAUCCCCGCCGAGUUCGCCGCCGUCAACUUCGCGCACCUCGACCUGUCGCGUAACGCACUCACGGGCGGCGACGCGUCGGGCCUGUUCGGCCGUGGAAAGGAGCUGCAGUACCUGGACCUGUCGCGCAACGCCCUGAGCUUCAAUCUCUCCGGCGUGGAGCUGCCGGAGCAGCUCUACUUCGUGGACGUAAGCCACAACGCCAUCUACGGCGGCAUCCCGGCGCAGGUGGCGAACCUGACCAACCUGCACUUCUUCAACGUCAGCUACAACCGCCUCUGCGGCGGCGUGCCCACCGGCGGCAACAUGGCGAGGUUGGAUGCCUACAACUACCAGCACAACAAGUGCCUGUGUGGAACUCCGCUGCCGACAUGCAAGUGAUCUACGUAUGUAACAAUCAGUUCAUCACAAGUGCCUCUACAUCAUUUUUAAAUAAACCAAAUUAAGGCCUUGUUUAGUUCCCAACAAAAUCCAAAAAAAAUUCAAGAUUCCUCAUCACAUCGAAUCUUGCGGCACAUGCAUGAAGUACUAAAUAUAAACGAAAACAAAAACUAAUUACACAGUUUGUCUGUAAAUCGCGUCACGAAUCUUUUGACCCUAGUUAGUCUAUGAUUGGACAAUAUUUGCCACAAACAAACGAAAGUGCUAUACAGUAGCGAAAUCUAAAAUUUUUUCACAUUUAAACAAGGAUAAAUGAUGGAGCCAUGCAACCUUGACAUGUAAGGGCAAUAUGCAUGUUUUUGGAGCAUGAGAAAUUUCCCCUAGACAAACCACGGUUCUGAUUUCAAAAAAUUGAGAAACUGAGAAUAGCACCGGAACCGGACUGUGGGUUCCAAAACAUGUACAAGUGAAUGUGUGAUUAUCAUAACUUUGAGAGCAAUUGAUUCACAAGAUGUAAAACACAAGAAUGAAUUCUAUUUUCCAAUAUAUAGGCUUUAAUUUGGACAAUAUAAUAAGUAGUCACUCCAUCUAACAUACACAAACGGCAUAGUUAUGACCAACGAUCGCACCAAAGUAGCGACUGUAAUCUUGAUUAGAGAGGAAUCAGGAAAAAAUCACAGACGUGGUUCAUAGCACUUAGACUGCAUUUCUUUUUCUCGAACACAGGAGAACCGCAAUUGCGCGUCAUUUUAUUAAGAUAGAAAUAUACUGCCUCUACAAUAACACAAAAAAUCAUUUAAAUCCUGCCUAACUCCACCCAAAGAUCAUAGUGGUGCACUAGUAUAGAGCUUAAAGUGAGGUCUUGGAAGGUCAACAUCAGUGCCAACCUAUAAUGUGGGUUAUUGAUAUUUGAGCUUAACAACAAAAUCACUCUUCACAAUAAGGCCUUGUUUAGCAGGGCUUUUUCAGCGGCUCUAGGAAUGGUUUGGAGACGUUUUCUGUCAAACAAACAGUGGCGGAGCCACCGCCCGACCACCCCGGGCAGCCGGCCUGGCUCGCUGCCAAAGUUCAAAAGGAAAAAUAUCUUGCUGUCAAAGUAGAACUCUAUAAUUUUCUAGCUAAAUAUUUUUGCAUAACAAGAACUGCCCGGCUCCAAAAAAAUCUAGCUCCGCUAAUGCAAACAAAGUAUAAUGAAAUGGCUCUACAGAUGAAGUCCCUAAAAACGUGCUCACAAAGAGUUUAGGAUGGAAAGGAGCCAAAAAUAAUGCCUUUUUUAACAUCACCUCAUCCUAAAUGGUGUUAUGUAAAAGCAUAUUUUUUAAAAACUCUAUAUAGAGCUAUUUUGACAAAGAAUUUACUAAAAUAGCUCUAGCACGUGUCCUUGGAGCUUAAGCAAAAAAAAGAAAAGAAAAGACGGCUUCACUAAUGAAGUGAAGCCAUGCCGAACAGAAUCUAAAUAAUAUUAAAAAAACUAGGUAGGCCAUGGUUACCUUUUGUUUGCAUGCCAUUAGUUAAGAUGUUCAAUUUUUCCUCAAUCAAAAAAUUAUACCUAGUACAUGGAUUAUUUUUCCCUUGCUAGUAUAGAACAAAUUAGCAGUUCCAGUGAAUCUGAAUCCAUUAUAUGUUAUCAUGUACUACUUUGCAAGCAAGAGAUUAUGACAGUACGUAGGUAAAUCUAUGCGGAUGCGUUUUUUAAAACUAUAUUUGAGGUCAAAGUUUGGAAUUUUGACCAGAUCUUCUUAGACCUUGUUUAGUUUCGAAAACUUUUUGGUUUUCAAAACUGUAGCACUUUCGUUUUUAUUUGACAAACAUUGUUCAAUCAUAGACUUAAAAGAUUCAUCUGUGCAAUUAGUUUUUAUUUCAUCUAUAUUUAGUGCUCUAUGCAUGUGCCGCAAUAUUCGAUGUGACGAAGAAUCUUGAAAAUUUUUUAGUUUUAAGGUGAACUAAACAAGGCCUUAUCCAUCUAGUCAGAGCUUUGGUUGAGUAAUUUGACCAUCGUCCCCCUUGGUCGUCUUUCACUUGCACACCGCAUAUGCACCAUGCAGGGCGGUGAGCGGGCAAACGCGGCGGCGCUGGUCCGUCGUCUUGGUGUCUGUCGGCGCUUAUCAUUCGGGCAGUCUGUUCAAUUGGCACUGGCAGUGACAGACAACCACCAGUACUAUAUAGCUAGCUAGCUGCAGCGAUACCCACAACACACCCACAAGAAUCCAAGAUGAAGAUGAUGCGCUCCUUCAUCUUCGUCCUCCUGUUCCUCGCCGCUGCAUCACCACCAGCUGGAGCAUCCGCCGACUCCUCCAGCAAGCAGGACCGGUGCCACUCGGGCGACAAGGCGGCGCUGCUGGCCAUCAAGGCGGCGCUCGGCAACCCAUACCACUUCGCGUCGUGGACACCCGACAACCCCUGCUGCGACUGGUACGACGUCGACUGCGACGCCGCCACCGGCCGCGUCGUCGGCCUCGCCGUGUUCCAGGACGCCAACCUGACGGGCACCAUCCCGGACGCCAUCGCGGGGCUCGUCCACCUCCAGAACCUCAUGCUGCACCACCUCCCGGGCAUCUCUGGCCCCAUCCCACAGGCCAUCGCCAGGCUCUCCAACCUCUCCUUCCUCACCAUCUCCUGGACGGGCGUCUCCGGCCCCGUGCCGUCGUUCCUGGGCUCGCUCACCAGGCUCAACCAGCUCGACCUCUCCUUCAACUCCCUCGCCGGCGCCGUCCCGGCCUCGCUCGCCGCGCUGCCCAGCCUCUACAGCAUCGACAUCAGCCGCAACCGCCUCACGGGCUCCCUGCCGCCGCCGCUCUUCAGCAAGCUUAAGGCGCAGGAGGCGUACCUCCGGCUGUCGCACAACAACCUCACCGGCACCGUCCCAGCCGAGUUCACGGCGGUGGCGUUCGCGCAGGUCGACCUGUCCCGGAACGC